CACGAAUUAAUGAAAUUAAAUUUAUUGUUUCCAUAUAAUACUACUAAAAGAAUACCGCCCUCCACCCCACGGGCCCAGCACUCCCAGCCUCUCUCAUCUCUAUACAUCGUCGAGCAUGUACAUCCCGUACCCGCUAAGUCGUCUCCCUUGUUCUUGGCGUAAUGUAUAAUUAAGUACAUAAUUAAUUACCACAGGUAAUUAAGAACUAAAUCAAAUCAACACCAUCUUUUUUCUGGACAAAACUAAAAAGAAACGGGCAAAAAAGUGAAGAAAAAAAUUAAAAAAUGCAAACUUUGGCGGGCUCUGCUUGUCGAUCAGAUUGAUGCAUGCACUGUUGAGUGGAUGACUUGUUGUUUCAUGUCUCAGGUCAUCUUGUCCGGAUGCGCGGCGGCAAAGUCGUGGACAGUGGACAGGGACCUCACGGCCAGUUGUAGUACCCUGCGUCGACGAACUUCUUGCCAUGGUGACCAUGCACCGUUGUGUGCUUGCCUCCCGAGCUAUGCAUGUGGGGGAUGUUGAUGUAGAGCACGGCGGUGAUGACGAAGGUGAAUGCCCACCAGACGAGCACCACGACUGGCGUCUUGCCGUGCUUCCCCAGGAUGCCCUUGGCGAACGGGUAGAGGUGGAACAGCACCCAGAAGUUGAAGAAGACCCCGCCGGCGACCUUGAGCCAGUGCGUCCACUCGCCGUCCAGCACCUUGGCGAAGGCCACCGCGGAUCCGAUGAUGUUGACGAAAAUGAUGAUGAUGGGUGUGAUCAUCAGCGGCGUCCAGCGGACCACGUAGAGGUCGGCGUAGGGGUCCUUCUUCUCGUCUCCCGACGGUAGCUUGGAUGUGAGCUUGAAGGAGAUGUCACGCCGGAAUAUCACCUUGGUAAGCACCUGGCACACGGCGGCGAGGUAGGCGGAGCAACUUGCCGUCAUCCAGAACUGGCCGUUCCUGAACCACUCGAAGACGGUGACCCCGGCCCACUUGACCUCCAGCACGGCGAUGACGAGCAGCGUGGAGAGCACGAUGCCCAGGUAGACGUAGAACAUGGUGGUGGGGCGCUGCACGAUGAAGUGGCCGGUGACGAAGGAGAGCGCCGGCACGGUGGUGUAGAAGAUGAGGAAGAUGGCGGUGAAGGGGUAGGUGGUGAUGUUGAUGUAGGCGACGCGCUGCAGCGGGUGGAGGUAGGUGCUGCCGAAGAGCGGGUUGUUCUUGGAGAAGAAGAUCUCGAGGGAGCCCGUGGACCAGCGGAGCACCUGGAAGAGCCUCUCCGUGAGGUUGAUGGGUGCGGUGCCGAUGAAGGCGUGUGGGUAGAUGGAGCAGUAGCGUGACCGCCACCCCUUGAUAUGCAUCCGGUACCCGGUGACCACGUCCUCCGUCACCGUGUCGUACACCCACCCGAUCUCUUUGCCCCACCCGGUCUUCUUCUCGAACGCCGCCGCCGUCACGUUCACCGCCUCCACGAUGGUCGCCUCGUCGGCCACGAUGCCCUCAGCCGCCGCCGCGUAAGGCGACGGGUGCGACGCGCGCGGGAUGCUGUCCACGAAGGCGUCCGACUUGCCGUACGUCUUCUUGGGCAGAGGCAGGAAGCCGUGCUUCCCCUUGGCGGGCACCGGCGCGGCCUUGGCCUUGGCCAUUGUCAUCUCGAGGCUCGGCUUCUCGUACUUGGUCUUGGCGAAGAGCCCGGCGAGCCUGGGGAAGCAGGGCCCGCCGACGUUGAUCCUGGGCGGGUCGAAGCCGUAGACGGUGAUGCGGCGGAAGAGACACCCGGUGCCGACGUAGAUGGGGCCCUGCAUGCCGUCGAGGGCACGGAGGGUGCCGUCGAAGAAGAUGCGGUUGUGGUUGGCGUAGAGGUCGGUGGGGUCGACGCCCUCGAAGCGCUGCGGGAACUGGACGAAGGCGACGGUGUCGCUGUCGCGUCCCACCAUGAAGCAGAUGCCGGCGCGGAGGGCCUGGGAGUUGUUGAUGUAAUGGUCGCAGUCGAGGUUGAGGAUGAAGGGGGAGUUGGAGAGCAGCGCGGAGGCGCGGGUGAGCGCGUUCAUGGCGCCGGCCUUCUUCUGGUGGUCGUGUCCGGGGCGCUUCUCACGGGAAACGUACACCAGCAUGGGGAGACGCGCAUCCACGCCGCUGAAGUCCAGUGGGUUGUCAGCGCUCGCCGGCGGGCCCGUCUGCCGCCGGUGGCUCGGGUGGUUCAGCAGCACCUGCAUCCAUUGCACACACACCAUUGUCAGCACUCCAUUCCUCUUGCACUAGUAGUACAAUCACAACUUGACUCUUUUUCUUUUUUGCGGAUAAAUCACAACUUGAGCUUAGGCAGAUAGUGGUAGUAAAAAAAACAAGGUUAAAUGAAUGACAUGGUUAAUUUUAGCUGUUACUGCUCCAUAGUAAUAAAAGGUCAAAUGAUUCUUACUGGAGUGUUACUACUACUAUGGGGUACCUUAGGGUGAUUAGUGGUUGGAGUAAUUAAUUAUUACUACAGACAGGGUUAAGAGUUGGGCAGAGUAAAGUGAUGAAUGAUUGAGGCAGUUAACAAAGAAGCAGGGCCGGUGAAUUGAAUUAAAUGGGUCAUAAAGUGGAGGCUGUAGUGGUGUCGGGGGGAAAGGACCACCCCAACCACCAUUCCCAGUCACAGCAUGAAUGAGUGGAACCACACGUUGGUGGCCACAGGACGGAUGCGAGAAGAGAAGCAUGCAUGUUCUCUUCCAUGUCUGUCCACAAGUGUGCUUGGCUGGCCGGCCGGUGGUUGCACUCUCGACUAUCACCACGUCCAUUCUGUCAAAAUCUCCCUUGGAUCGGCACAGCAGUGCAGGCAGGCAUCACAUCAGAUGGCCACUAAGGGCAUGUACAAUGGUGGCAUAUGAAUACAUAUGCCUCAUGACAAAAAGUAAUUUAAAGCAUCUACAUUAAUUUUUUCUCUUCAAUGCAAGCUAUCACUAGUGGGCCUCAUUAAAAAAUAAAAAAUAAAGACUCUAGUAUACAUGCAUCUCUAUUUUUCACUCCAACCUUUUCAGCUUUUGUCACUGGACCACAUAUUUUCUCUUCAAGCACCCGCCUCCUGGAGAGGAUCCCGCUUCUCUAUCGAACCUACUUUACGUCAUAUCCGAUCCUACAUGGCAUGCGAGGCAUCACCUUAAGGCUAUGCAUUGUACAUGCCCUAAUAACGAGGCCCUAACUACUAACCAAGAUUCCAACAACAGCAGCAUGCAUGCAUGCAGACAUGUACUCUAGUAGGAAAGAGACAGUAAGUAGGAGUAAGUAAAUGGUAGUGAUAAUAAGAAUAGUAAGUACUGACCCGGACGAUGCCGGCGUGGUCGCCCCUGCGGUGGUUCUCGGAGGCGUCGACCCAGGUGCCCUCCCACUGGGUGCCGUCGGCCAUCCAGGUGGGUCGGGGCUCGCCUUCCCGGUGAGCGUUGGCGGCGUUGUACCCGUCGUUGCGCUGCUUGAUGUCAUGCUCCAGGCUGUUGAUCCUGGCCUUGAACUCGUCGUACUCCUUGCGGACGCGUCGGCGGUCGUUCACGAACUCGUCCUGGGCUCUCCCCAUGUAGGGGUGGGACUUGAGCUCGAAGUAGCUCUCCGGGCCCCUCGGCUCAAUCCCGUGCUUGCGGCAGAAGGGCACCCAGAGGGUGGCGAACUUGGAGGACUCAGCCAGGGCCUCGUAGGUGAGCAGCAUGCCACUGUCGUCGGAGACGUAGCAUGUGUUGCGGUCCACGGGGUAGUCGGCGGCGAGGAUGGAGAGCACCGAGUUGGCGGUGGAGAGGAUGGGCUCCUUGAUGGGGUCGGCCGUGGUGACGAAGAUGUCCAGCCCAGGGAGCGUGGAGGUGCCGUCGGGGCGGUCGAAGCGCUGCCGCAGCACGGCCAGGUCCGGCACGCGGUUGAUGGGGUUCAGCUUGGGGAGCUGAUCCAGCAGCCAGGAGAAGCCGAACCAGAACUCGCCGCAGAUGGAUGUCACCCACAGCCACAUGGCGUCAGGGUUCUUGUGGGAGAUACGCCAGAUCACGAACAGGGUGAAGGCGAUGAGACGGACGAAGAUCAGCACCCUGCAUUGCAUUAUUCACAUUCACCGUCAGUUACACUUCAUCAUCAACUCACUCUUACUAGUAAAAAAAUGUUUGGAUUAAUCGAGUAUGUUGGUAGAUGAUUGGGUGCAAUUAUUGGAGGGAACAUGCGCCCUUUGCAUUUCUUUUCCCUAUCAGACAGCUAGUUCUAAUUUCUUUUGCAAAUGCCAAAAGGCGAGAGAGAGAAAGAGAGAGAAGGGUAUCAUGUUCUCAUUGACAGCCAAGGCGGGAGCUGGCAAGUCAAUGAGUGUGAGCUGGCACACUUGGCAGCAAACGGCGCCGUGUAUGAGCACCGACAUGCCUCUGCUGUCAGUAGGCCCGGGCCCCUCCCUCACCCGUCCGUCGUGCGCGGGCCAGAGGUGGUGCCGCUGGAUUCCUUGCUCCAUUAAUGGGCCUCUUUUCUCGUUAGUAAGUUUUUUUCUUCUUCUUUAUUUGUGCUAUUGGCGCCAAAAAGUCGUUGGAACCUUCUCCUGCUAAUCGUUACUACCACUAGUAGGAGUACUUUGGAGUAAGAGUAAUCUUUUUCUUGUUAAUCUUUGGAGUGCUUUGAAGAUGUUGUGCCGAGUGCACUUCACAUAUCCUAGUAGUAGUGUUUAUCUAGCACGCGCAUUUCUUCUUCUUCUUCUUUGAGGGGACACGCGCAUUUCUUCUGAGUUGUAACUCUGCCACUUUAAUAUGGCUUUUCUCGGUGCCAACAUGACUCACGCAUUCUUCUGGGGAAAAAGGCAUUCAUGCGGUGGCACCACCUCUUUUGCUUCUCCUCCUUUUUAUGACAUGAUAAUCUUCUUCUCGUUUUCUCCCCAUAAAACGGCUGAACAAAAACUAACGUACUACAGGCUCCAGCAGUAGCAUCAUCCAUCUAUAACUAGAUGCCGAAAAAUCUCAUAUACUACUCCCUCCGUCCGGGUGUAUAAGUCAUUCGCGUAGUUCUAGGUCAUCGAUUUGAGGAAUUAAAUAUGUGUUAUAUGUCAUGAAAAGUAUACCACUAGAUUUCCACACGGAUGUAGUUUGUAAAUAUAUAUUUUUUGUCACAUAUAAUACAUAUUUAGAUAGUUAAAUUAUCGACCUAGAACUACGCGAAUGACUUAUACACCGGGACGGAGGUAGUACCAUACCAUACUACGUUUCUCGAGUGACAAAAAAGGACAUGUUACUUACUUUUAUAUCUUGUCCGAACCCUAAAAGUUUAACCAACUUUCUCACUGCGACGUCCCCAGGGAGAAUGGCGACGAGGCUUUUAAUGAUGUGGCUUGGAUUCACGUGCAAGCCAAGCCCACUGUCAUCUCGUUUCACCUCGGAUUCCUAUUGCUAUUGCAGAGAGGCCAACCCCCCCGCACACCCACAUUUUAUUAAUUAACUCUACUAUCUAAAGUGGCAAGGAUUUAUGAGCCGCCAGGGUGGCCACCGGGGCCCACCUGCCAGGCAGGCCCAACGGCUAACGUCCCCUCCCGCGGGCCCAUGCAGCAGUGACUAUGACUAGUAGUAAUAAAAUGGAAGAACCAGCGCCCCGCCGCACCGAGCCGACAGCCCACACCGGGACGCGCUGUUUUGGGUGGAUUCGAGCCAUCAUUGGCCCGCCUCUAACGUGACCUGUCUCGGACUUAUCAAUUUUUAAUCCAGGUUUACAUUAAUUAACUAUUUUUUACUGUGAUUAACACCGACCAGACAAUGCUACUACUAGUACUAGUCCUAGGAGUACUAGCGAUACUAGUAAUCUUCAUGAGCACCGCCACCGGUCAAGAUCAAAUAAUCCGGACUGUCAACCUUGGCGUGGUGCUUGUUGGUUUAAUCAUUUUAGACUUGUUGUGCAAAAGAGUAAUAAUAAAUAAAUACUUAUUACAGUAAGUAUGAAAUAGUAAGUAGUAAUUGUUACUAUGACGCAGAUAUAGGGAGUUUUGUUGCACGUACCGGUAGGGGUGGAGGAGGACACCCUUGAUUUUCUCGGUGCGGAAGACGGGGCGGUCGUCAACAGCGGCACCGCUUUCGUCGGUCUCGCCGUCCUCGCCGAGCUCCACGCCCACCCAGCUCUCGUCGUUGACGGCGCCGAUCUGCCCCAUGGCCACGAUGUCCAUGUCCAGCGAGGAGGCGGCGGACGCCACCGCGGCCGAUCCCGUGCAGGCGCACACCUGGAAGCCGCACACGCAGGGCUUGUCGCUGGCAGCGGCAGCAGCAGGCUCAUUGCUCCGCACGCGGCCUCCUCCGGCCACCGCUGGCGCCAUGGCCGUGGUCCUCAAUGCACGCACUCUCCUUUACGACAAGGAGAGCAGCAGCAAGAAUGGGAGGGAGGCAGGCAAGGUAGCUCUCCACGCUCAGGCAAUGGGCGAGGCAGCCUUUAGCAUGUGCAGGGAGAGAGAGGGAGAGGGAAAAGGAAGCAAUGAAUGAAUGUAGGGGAGGGGAGGAGGAGGUGCGAGAAAUGACGAGUAAAGUACGUGGGGGAUUUAUGGGCUGGGAGGCACAAGAAGUGUCGGUAGGGGUUUCAAGCUUUGCUCUGCUCAGCUCGCUUGUCUUGCUGAGCUAUCCAACCAACGGGUUGGAGGUGUCUGUGGGUUUGUAAUUGUGUUUCAGCGGUGUGCGGGUGUGUUUAUAUGUAGGUGGUGGACUGGCGAGCACAUUGCGGUGUACGCGUGUAUGCCCAGCCCAGCCCAGCCCAUAUGCAUAUCAUCUCGCCGCACCGCACCGCACCUCACCUACCUACCAGGCAGGUUGCUUCCACUCAUAUUCCUGCCCCUGCCUGCUGUGCCAUGUGAUUUGUGAUGCCCUCCCCUCCCUGCGCAAGAAAACUAGAGAUAAUUAGCUAGCAUUUCCGAUUUUUUCUUUGUAUCUUUUCGCUUGCAUAAGUAUUGUUGAUUAAUUAAUGAAUUGAUUGGUGCCGCAAGAUGGGACGAUUUCCUUUUUCCUCCACCGAUUGAUUGUUAAUAUGUUAAUGUAAUACUAAUACUAAUCAGAGAGGAGGAGGAGGAGGAUGAAGAGGAGCUGGGCGUAGAAUAAAGGCACCGGGGCGAUGAGUGGCGAUGAUGAUUAGUUUGUUUGUUAUGUGCCUGGUUUUUUUUUUCUUCUCUUUCUUAACUACUAGGUGGGGUUUGUGAUUGAAAGAUUCUUUUCUUGCGCCUUUUCUGCUCUCUCCCAGUCCAAGCUGAAGCCAGCCUGACCCGUGAGUCCCUGUAGUAUCCUGCAGCAUCGCCAUGCAUCAGUGAGCUGUUUUGAGUACCGUACAAGCCUCUUUGCUCUGCUGUGACCUUGCAGCCCAACGGCAAAUGCGAUCUCUUCUGCCCACGGAAUUUUUAGCCUCUUGAUCUAGUAGUAUCUAUGUGCAAGUUGGGUUGGGAGAAACAUUUUGGAGCACUAGUAGCAAACUGCGAGGACUCGCUCAUACGUGCUCACGUAUUCUUGUCUUGUUGGUUGAAAAGUGGCAUGCUGCAGAGCCACGGAAGGCAACAGUGGUCGGAGUAAUAUCGGUCACAGCAAAAGGUGGACAUGCAGAGCCCUGUUCGCUUCUACUGCCUUCUCCUUUUUUUUCCCUUUGGUUUUGGUUUUGGUUUUGGCUUUGGCUUUGGCGAGGAAAUGCUUCACGAGAAGAGAAGGAAUGCGUUGGUCCCCUGGCCGGUUCAUUGCCACAAGGAGGCUUGCCGUUCUGCCCGUUACGACGUCCCUUUAGGAGCGGCGGGGAACGUCGCGCGCGUAUCCGACGAGAAAUCACGGCGGGAGGAGCAUAUAAUCCGUCCUGAUGGAGCUCCCUGAACUAACUAACGGGAGGAAUUAAGCAUGAGGUCUACCGCUCGCUCGCGCCCGGCCAAUUUGCGAAUUAGGCCAGUUGUUAGGACAAUGACGCGCGCGCGCCAGGCCACACGGCCCCGUGUCCAGACCCCGAACUAACCACACCGCCACGGAGAGGACAAUUAAACCAACACACACAAGAAGAAGACGAUCGAGGAUGGAGAGGCCGGAAGAGUAAGGGCAUGCACAAUGGUGGCAUAUGGAUACAUAUGCCCCAUGAUAAAAAGUAAUUUGAGGCACCUAUAUUUAUAUUUUCUUCCCAAUGUAAGCUACCGCUAGUGGGCCUCAUUAAGAAACAGAAAAUAAAGACUCUAGUACACAUGCAUCUUUACUUUUCACUCCAACCUUUUCAGCUUUUGUCACCGGACCACACUUUUUCUCUUCAAGCACCCGCCUUCUGGAAAGGAUCCUGCUUCCCUAUCAGAACCUACUUUACGUCAUAUUCGAUCCUACAUGGCAUGCGAGGCAUCACCCUGAAGCUAUGCAUUGUACAUGCCCUAAUUAACCGGCGGUUGCUGUUGCUGUUGCAUCGACGAUCCAACCACAUAUGCGGGCACGCUAGCCCCCAGCAUUCAUGAUAAACCAUACAGCUGUUACUACUACACUCAACGAGUCCCACAACAUUUACGAGGGGAUGGGAAGGAACGGACACAAUUUUAACGUUUCCGCCGACGGUAAUGUAAUGUGCGUGCAUCUCCAUCCGGGGCACACGUACUGACUCACUUGUUUGUGUGCGCGCGUCUGCGGAGAGGAUGCUAAUGACCUAAUUGACGCCCACAACUAUGCCAUCUGCAAAGCAGAUUUCAGGCCCUUUACUGAACCACUACAUCAAGAUAAUUCCUAAGCUUCUUCCCUCUGUUUCCCUAGAAAUACAGCCCUUAGGGCACCGUUUUAGACUUGCGUUUUGUUCCUUCGAUCAUCAGAUCAUGCUACUCCCGGAUACCGGAGGAACGCCUUGUGUGCUAUCAAACGUCACUGUCUAACUAGGUGAUCAUAAAGGUGCUCUACAUGUAUAUCCGAUGGUCUCUGUUGGGUUGCAUGGAUCGAGACUGAGAUUUGUCACUCCGUGUGACGGAGAGAUAUCUCUAGGCCCUCUCGGUAAUACAACAUCACAAGAAGCUUCAUGUGACUAAUGAGUUUAGCCACACGAUCUUGUAUUACGGAACGAGUAAAGGGACUUGCCAGUAAUGAGAUUGAACUAGGUAUGGAGAUACCGGCGAUCGAAUCUCGGGCAACUAACAUAUAGCCGGACAAAGGGAAUUGCAUACGGGAUUACCAAAAUCCUCGACAUUGUGGUUUAACCGAUAAAGAUCAUCGUUGAAUAUCUAGGACCAAUAUGGACAUCCAGGUCCCACUAUUGGUUAUUGACUAGAGAGGAGUCUCAGUCAUGACUGCAUGAUUCUCGAACCCGUAGGGUUGCAUGCUUAACGUUCGUUGACGCUAGACUAGUAUUGGGAUAUGUACACUGGUGACCGAAGGUUGUUUGGAGUCCCAGAUGAGAUCCCGUAUGUCACGAGGAGUUCUAGAAUGGUCCCGAAGUAAAGGUUGAUAUAUAGGAAGUCAUUUCUAGGGUACUGGAAAAGUUCGGGGGAAUACCGACAUCGUAUCGGGGGCCACCGAAUGGUUCUGAGGGACCACCAGUGGGUCCCACCACCCCCAGGGGCCACCAUGGGCUGAAGGGGGGCGCCCUGGCCUAGUGAGGCCAGGCGCACCAGCCCCAAGAGUCCAUGUGGCUUGGGGGUCAAGAAACCCUGAGGGGGAAGGGAGGAAUCCCAUCUGUCGUACGGGAGAGGGACUCCUCCCCCCUUGGCCGCACCCCUCCUUGGAGGAGGGGCUAAGAGCUGCGCCCCCUACCCUUGCCCCUAUAUAUAGUGUAGGGAGAGGAGGGGAGCCGAACCCUAAACCCUUUCCCAGGCUCCCCCCUCCUACCACCAUAUUCUCUCGGUACGGGUUGGUCAAUCCCUAAUGGAGUAACUCCACCACCAUCUCCACCAUGCCGUUGUGCUGAUCGAGAUCCCAUCUACUUCUCCCCCUUAUCUUGCUGCAUAAGGAGGAGGAGACAUCACUGAGUCGCAUGUGUGCUAAAGUACUCGGAGGUGCCGUCCGUUCGGCACUAGAUUAGUUUGGACCGUGAUUGGAUCACAAAGAGUACGGCUACAUCAACCGAGUUAUAUCGCUUCCGCUUUCGGUCUACGAGUGUAUAUAGAUACACUCCCUUAUCGUUGCUAUGCAUCUCCUAGAUUGGAUCUUGGGUGUUUCGUAGGAAUUUUUUUUAUUUCCAUGCUUUGUUUCCCAUAAGUGGCAUCAUGAGCUAGGUCUAUGCGUAGAUGUAUAUGCAUGAGCAGAACAAAAAGUUGUUGUGGGUGUUGAUGUUCAGAUUGCUUACUUCCCUUGUCUUAUUUGGAUUCAGCGGUAUUGUGGGAUGAAGCGGUUCGAACCAACCUUACAUGUCCUUGCACAUGAGACCUGUUCCACUGUUUGACCUGCAACUAGUAUUGCAUUAAAGUGGUCGGCGGGUGUCUGUCUCUCCUACUUUAGUUGAAUCUGAUUUGACAAAGGCGGUCCUUGUAGAAGGUUAAAAGGCAACUUGAAUAUUACUGUUGUGAUUUUGCAUAGAUAAGAAUGGUUCUUAUAGUUUGCCCUAGCAGCCACGUAAAAUUUGCAACAACAAAGUAGAGGACCACUACUAGAAUCCAGUUAUUUGCCGUCCGCGAGUACUUUGCUGUCCGCUGGCUGACGGCAAAGAGGCUCUUUCCCGUUUGCUUCCACAAAGCCGGCGGAAAGAAAGGGCUGAUGGCAAAAAUGCUAUUUGCCGUCAGCUAUUUCUUUGCCCAAAGAGCUGGAAGGCAGGCGACAAAGGGCCAGGUGGGCCCCACAGGGCAUCGCGUGGCUAGGUCAGGUUCUUUGCCGUCCAGCGGACGGCAAAGAGGAGACGUAGGCCAGCCCUAAACGGCCGCCCUCUUUGCCUUCUGCUAGCAGACAACAAAGAAGGCCCACUUAACAGGCCAAGCCGUCUCCCCCCUCUCUCUUUCUCUGUCUCCCUCCCGCGCGCCCGCCUCUCUCCUUCCCUGCCGCUACCGCCGCCGCUAUCGCCGCCGCCGGCCAGCCCCACCCCUGGACCCAGCCCCUACCGCCGUCCAGCCCUCCCCCCCCGCGCGAAGAGGAACCCCGCCGUGCCCUGUCACCCCGCUGCCCCGCCACGCACCGUCUGCGAAGAGGCCAACNNNNNNNNNNNNNNNNNNNNNNNNNNNNNNNNNNNNNNNNNNNNNNNNNNNNNNNNNNNNNNNNNNNNNNNNNNNNNNNNNNNNNNNNNNNNNNNNNNNNNNNNNNNNNNNNNNNNNNNNNNNNNNNNNNNNNNNNNNNNNNNNNNNNNNNNNNNNNNNNNNNNNNNNNNNNNNNNNNNNNNNNNNNNNNNNNNNNNNNNNNNNNNNNNNNNNNNNNNNNNNNNNNNNNNNNNNNNNNNNNNNNNNNNNNNNNNNNNNNNNNNNNNNNNNNNNNNNNNNNNNNNNNNNNNNNNNNNNNNNNNNNNNNNNNNNNNNNNNNNNNNNNNNNNNNNNNNNNNNNNNNNNNNNNNNNNNNNNNNNNNNNNNNNNNNNNNNNNNNNNNNNNNNNNNNNNNNNNNNNNNNNNNGACCCCUCCCCGCGGCGCUGCGCCGCCCCGCCUCGCUGCCGCCCUCCUCCCCACGGCCCCUGUGCCGCCCCACCCCACCGGCCGACCUCGCCCUCCACCAGCAAUUCCCUGCAGGUUUGUUCUUCCCCCCUUUUUUUAGUUUAGUUUUUUAGUUUCUUUUAGUUUAGUUUCUAUUUUAGUUUUAGUUUUAGUUUUAGUUUUAGUUUUAUUUUCAGUUUAAUUUUAGUUUUAGUUUUAGUUUAUUUUAGCUUAGUUUAUUUUAGAUUAGUUUUAGUUUUAGUUUAGAAGAAGAAGAGGAGUAGAAGGAGGAGGAGGAGGGAGGAAGAAGAAGAAAGAAGAAGAAGAAGAUGAUGACCCUAAAUAGCAAGUAUCGUCGGUGCGAGAUACAUGUGGCCGUCGGUGUCGAACACUACAUCCACGUCCCACAAGUGACGCCGACGUCCGGCGUCCCAAAGCAACUGUUCUCGGUGUCCGGCGCCGGCUUCACUUGUGGGAUGUGGAUCUAGUGUUCAACACCGAGCGCCACAUGUAUCUUGCACCGAUGAUACUUGCUAUUUAGGGUUAAUUAGGGGGUUCCUCGGUGUCGAUGGUAUCCUAAAUAGUAAGUAUCGUCAGUGCGAGGUACAUGUGGCCGUCGGUGUCGAAUACUACAUCCACGUCCCACAAGUGACACAGGGGUCCUGCGUCCAGCAGCAACAGUUCUUGGCGUCGAUGGCGGUCAAACACCAUUGCAAUUUUGUUUGGCAGCCUCAGAGAUGACGAUUUAAAGCUAAGUGUUGAAACUUGAAACACCCAAAAUAACUCAAGUCGGUUUGGUUGUUUGAAAAUUUCAAAACUUGGCUUUAAUCCUCAUCGCAGAGGCUGCCAGACAAAUUCGCCAAGGUGCUCGACUUUCAUCGGCCACCAGAACUAUUGUUGCGGGACGUCGGGCACCGGCUUCACUUGUGGGAUGUGGAUGUAGUGUUCAACGCCGAUGGCCUCAUGUACCUUGCACCCAUGGUAGUUGCUAUUUAGUUUAUCCAGGGACGAGCGGGUUAGAGGGUUCCUCGGUGUCGAUGGUACCGUAAAUAGCAAGUAUCAUCAGUGCGAGGUACAUGUGGCCGUCAGUGUCGAAUACUUGCUAUGUUACUCAUCUUUCGAUUUAAAUAUGCAGUUAUUUCGUCAUUGCGAGGGUCUAGUGUUCGACGAGCUCCGCCCCUGCGUUCGUUGGUGAGCACAAAUGACAUCUCCUCCUCCCCACUUCAUUUGCUCUGUUCUAGUCUUUGUGCCUGAUAAGUGCAUUUCAUAUAUAUAAUUUGGCACUCAAAUUUAGCAUCUAUCGUGAUUUAUCCAUCCAUUCUUGCUAUGAGUUGUGAUAUAUUUGAAUGAAAAUCAUAUAAAAGAUCAUUUACUUGUCAUUUGUUUAUUUUGCAGAAAAGUGCGAUAAGGCACUAUAAUCUUGAAGAUCUUGUCUACAAAGAAAGAGGAUACAAGACCGAGGGCCAAUAGAAGAGAAGGGGGGACUCGAGUAUGAAGAGUUAAAGAAAUGGAGGGCCAAAACUAAAGAAGAAAGGGAUCUACUUGAGGCUAAAGAAGAGAAGAAGGAGGGCAAAAGUGUAAAAAUGUAGAUCUGGGAGGGGAUCAAAAUCCCUAGCCGCAUCUCCAUUGCAAUCAGGCCUGGCAUCUCCAUCUCCCUCACCCUCCUUCUCCACCUCCGGCCGCCGCCACGGCCAGGCCAGCGUGGUGGUGCGCCCCUCACCAUCACACCAUCACCACCAUCGCCGCCAGCCACGACCAUCUCCACCACGCACCACCAGCACCACUUCCCACGAGCCGCACCUCACACCACCACCAGCACCACGCCAUCUCCAUCUUCGCCGCCGCGCCACCGCUCGCACAAUCUCUUCUUCCCCUGCUGCUCCUUCCUUCUCCUCACCACGCUGCUGCUUCCCCUCUCACGCCCCUGGUACUGCUCCUUCUCACAUUCCUGCUGCUGCUGCUGCUCGUCUUGUGCCCCUGGUGCUGCUCCUCCUUCCCUCGUCCUUGCUGCUGCUCUCUCCCUCUCUGUUGCUCUUCUCUGAAUCCCCUACUGCUGCUACUCCACUUCCUGUGCUCCCCUUCUUCUUCUAUGAAUCUCGCUGCUGCUGCUCCUCCUCUUAAAACGGCUGCUGCUCCCUCUCCCACUUUCCUCGCUGCUGUUCCCUCUCUCUUCUCACCAAAAUUGCUGAUGUCCUCUUCUCCAUUUGCGUGCUGCCACACCCUUCCUGAAGCUCUCUCAACUUUAUUUUGUUCUGUAUUAGUACUAUUUUGUCUGUAUGUCAGUUAGUUUGCUGUAAUAAUUCAGAUUACUUGUGAUCUUUGUGUUGAAUGUGAUUUCAGUGAACUUGAGAUUUGUAAUAUUGCUCAAUAUUCAGUCUAUAAUGUCUAAAACUUUGUGAUUCGGUGGUGUCUAUAUUCAAUAUAUAUAACCUGUGAUAUAUAUCUUUUAGAUGGUUCAAUCUUUUAGUUAUUGUUGUACUGAUAUAUGUUAAGGUGAUUUGGCUUGUGUGAUACGAGUCUAGUACAUGUGCUAUAUAAAUUCGUGUGUGUUUCUGGUGUAAACCAUCUAUAUUGUGUCUUUUAAUCUUGUUUCUUCCUUCUUCUUACAUGUUAGAUGGUUAUGUGUUCAUGUGUUGCAUCUUCUCGGUGUGUAUUUUAAUUCUUCUAGUAUAAUAAAAAUACCAAAAAGACAGUGAAGAAAAUCUGAACCUUCCUUUGCCCUUUUUGCAUUUUCUUUGGUGACGAUCUUUGGGUACAACCUUGUUUAGUGUAGGUUUAUUUUCUUGCAUUCAUAAUCUGAAUUGUGUUACCUAGCUUUAGCCAAGCACGUUCAUUGAUUUGCCUAGUCCCUGAGGAGAACACGACACUCGUAGUUUGGGGCGUAAAAACCCCGCUAUAUUACAACUGAUCAUUUUGGCGCCGUUGCCGGGGACUAGCGUCGUGUGACUGUGUUAGGCUUUAGACUAGGUUUAGCUUGUUUCCUUUUUGUGCUUUAUAUAUUUGUGAUAUAUCUCUAGCCACUAACCCCUAUUCUAGUUAGUAUCUUUUCGUCUUCUUUUCCUUUUUUGCAGGUUGGAUUAUCCUCUCGGCUAUGGCUUACUAUUCAGGCUUAUGCGAGGAACACUACAAACAGCACGGAAAGUGUUCAAGAACUGAUAGGUAAGAUUUCCCAUCGAUUAGAUGAUUUAGCUCGGCAGCGAGAAGGAGUUUUUGAGGAUAGGCCUAGUUCUUACGAUCCUUAUUCCAGAGGCCAUCCUUAUGUUGCUCCUACUUGCCAUAUUUGUGGAUUUCAGGGCCAUUCGCCCGCUGAAUGUCAGCGUGGUUACUCCCAUCCUACGGAUUGUUUUGGCAUGAGCUUCGCUCAACAGCAUAGCUCAUACCAAAACAAUUACUCACAUGGGUGGCCUGAAAGCCUGAAUAUGUCAUAUAGGAGCAACAACCCUAAGAUCUCACAGUUUGGUUCUAGUAAUCAUAUGCAGGGAUUUAGGUACAAUGAGGAGAGCCACAACUAUGCACCACAACAAUUCCAUUCAGCUCCUACUCAUAUACCACAGCACCAGGAGAUGUGUCCAAUGGAGUUAAAUGGUCCUCCAUUUGGUCAACCAACAACUCCAGCACCUGUUGUGCAAUCUCAUGUGCAAGUGCCCACACAAGAUGAGUUCAAUGACAUAGACAAGCUCACACUUUUGAGUCUCGAGUUCACUUGGAGUGCCGAGGAUGAUCCUAUUAGGAAGGUUAUACUAGAUGAAAUGAAGAAGAUCAAGAGUGGAAAAGAGCUAGUGGAAGAAGUAAGGAAGAUUGAGAACAACAUCAACACUGGCAGCACUAUUUCUUCACAGCUAGAGCUGAGUGUUGCCGAGAUUCCCCUUGAUACAUGUGAGGUUCCAACACCGUCACAUCCAGUUGAGCAAGAUAGUAAGAGUCCAGAGGAAGAAAGACCUCAGAUUGAAGAAGAUGAACUAGAAGACAAGGAACAAGAUGAUCAAGAGCUGCAAUUCCCAAGUGAUCAAGUUGAAGACUCAUCAUCUACUACUCCUAAAGAAGUACAAGAAGCUGCUGUAGAUGAAGAUGAAGAACAUGAGAUUCAUUUGCCUAUUGUCAUACCAGAGCGUGAUGUGUCAGGUUUACCCAAUCCUCUUGAUGACAUGAUGCCUUGUAAUUUCUUUGCUACUACCUUGCAUUACAUGAUACCAUCAAUUAAGCUAGACUUGAAAAAUUAUUUGCUUGGACAUGAUCAUACAUACAUUGUUGGUGGCAUUGCUCUCAUUCCUGAUGAUGACACUUAUUUUCCUUAUGCUAGUUCUAUGCUUAAUGAAACAUAUUAUUCCCAUGCUAGUCUUGAGCUUAAUGAUAAAUUUCAUCCUCAUGUUAGUGUCGACCUUGCUGAUUUCUACCAUCCUAAACAUGUGCUUUAUAGUUAUGCUUAUAUAAUUGGAUAUUACAUUGAUGACUUGGAGGGCAUCGACCGUAUCACUUGUAGUUGUUUGUGUGAGUCCUAUUUCAGGCUUUUGCUACUGCACUGUUUACUACAUGCUGACCAGGUUCGAGGUGACAUUCCUUGGGAUCCUGGUGGAGUCAGAGCAUGGCGAUGAGGAGAAGCAAUGGGGCACACAUAUGGAAGAGUGAAGCUGGAGCAUCCAUGAGGAAGCAAGGGAGAAGAGCUGCAGCUGGUGAGGUGAUCGAGCGAGUGCUACAUCAUCAAAGCCCGGUGAGCUGUUUCAUGACCCAUUCUGAAUAUCAUAAAUACAUGCUGAAUUAAAUUGCUAGUUGGGUUGCUUGAGCUAGUUAUUACUUGUUGUCAAGCUGAAAUUCACCUUUGGCAUUGUGCUUGAUGUGAAUUUGUGAACUUGAUUUCUGAAUGCCUUGUAAACUAGUGAUCUACACCAUGCAUGCUUUGCUGAAAUUUGUGGAAGUUAUUAGUUUUGAGUGCUCAAAUCCCUAGUACACUAGAAAACUUGAUCAUUUUCUGCUUUUACCUUGAUACACCUAGAUCACCAUGUUUAGAUGCUGAAUUUGUGCUAAGUGUGUUCCCAUUGAGAGCAAUCACCUAACCACUAUGGAUUAGCAUGCUAUGUUCCCUGGAUCGGUAGCAUGUGAACCAGACAUGGAGAAGCGAUGAUUCCUAUUUUUGUGCUUAUGAGUUGUUCAUUUAAGAUAAGUAAUAAUGAAUAUAUAAGUCUGGCUACCUACAGUAGCAUGUCAUGUUACCGGGAUCGGUGGCAUGUGAAAUCGGGUUAGCUUGGGCAGUAAUUAAUAAUAAUAAAAAUGUAAUUGUCGAACCAGGUGUAUACCAUGUUCUCGGGAUCGGUGGUAUGUUCCUUUGGGGAGACAAAUAAUUUUUUUUAAUUAAAAUUGGUUGAGCCAGGUGUAUACCAUGUUCUCGGGAUCGGUGGUAUGUUCCUUCGGUGAGACUAAUAAAUUAUUAUGUGUGUUUCUUUCAAAUUCAAUAAGUGGUUCAACCACAAAGUCAUAUUUCUGCAAAUAAGAGACUUAAUUCUAGUUCUUUUUGUUCUCGGGAUCAUGCUCUCUUUAGGAACCAUUUGGCGCAGUCAUCAUUUAAACUUGUUGAUCCUCUUUUAUCACUUUAAAAGUUUAAAAUGGUCAUGCUUACUAGUAUCCUACUGCUUUGUAGCACUCCUAACCAUUAAUUUUCACUAGCUAAGUCUGAAGCAUGCCUUGUUUGGAGAUCUAUUUUACCAGGACAUUCCUUACUCAGUUUACUAUUCAUUAUCUUGCCUUUGUCAUAUUCCUUUGCUUGAGGACAAGCAAAGAUUUAAGUGUGGGGGAACUUGAUAAGUGCAUUUCAUAUAUAUAAUUUGGCACUCAAAUUUAGCAUCUAUCGUGAUUUAUCCAUCCAUUCUUGCUAUGAGUUUAAAUAUAUUUGAAUGAAAAUCAUAUAAAAGAUCAUUUACUUGUCAUUUGUUUAUUUUGCAGAAAAGUGCGAUAAGGCACUAUAAUCUUGAAGAUCUUGUCUACAAAGAAAGAGGAUACAAGACCGAGGGCCAAUAGAAGAGAAGGGGGGACUCGAGUAUGAAGAAUUAAAGAAAUGGAGGGCCAAAACUAAAGAAGAAAGGGAUCUACUUGAGGCUAAAGAAGAGAAGAAGGAGGGCAAAAGUGCAAAAAUGCAGAUCUGGGAGGGGAUCAAAAUCCCUAGCCGCAUCUCCAUUGCAAUCAGGCCUGGCAUCUCCAUCUCCCUCACCCUCCUUCUCCACCUCCGGCCGCCGCCACGGCCAGGCCGGCGUGGUGGUGCGCCCCUCACCAUCACACCAUCACCAUCGCCUCUAGCCACGACCAUCUCCACCAUGCACCACCAGCACCACUUCCCACGAGCCGCACCUCACACCACCACCAGCACCACGCCAUCUCCAUCUUCGCCGCCGCGCCACCGCUCGCACAAUCUCUUCUUCCCCUGCUGCUCCUUCCUUCUCCUCACCACGCUGCUGCUUCCCCUCUCACGCCCCUGGUACUGCUCCUUCUCACGUUCCUGCUGCUGCUGCUCGUCUUGUGCCCCUGGUGCUGCUCCUCCUUCCCUCGUCCUUGCUGCUGCUCUCUCCCUCUCUGUUGCUCUUCUCUGAAUCCCCUACUGCUACUACUCCACUUCCUCUGCUCCCCUUCUUCUUCUCUGAAUCUCGCUGCUGCUGCUCCUCCUCUUAAAACUGCUGCUGCUCCCUCUCCCACUUUCCUCGCUGCUGUUCCCUCUCUCUUCUCACCAAAAUUGCUGCUGUCCUCUUCUCCAUUUGCUUGCUGCUACACCCUUCCUGAAGCUCUCUCAACUUUAUUUUGUUCUGUAUUAGUACUGUUUUUGUCUGUAUGCCAGUUAGUUUGCUGUAAUAAUUCAGAUUACUUGUGAUCUUUGUGUUGAAUGCGAUUUCAGUGAACUUGAGAUUUGUAAUAUUGCUCAAUAUUCAGUCUAUAAUGUAUGAAACUUUGUGAUUCGGUGGUGUCUAUAUUCAAUAUAUAUAACCUGUGAUAUAUAUCUUGUUAGAUGGUUCAAUCUUUUAGUUAUUGCUGUACUGAUAUAUGUUAAGGUGAUUUGGCUUGUGUGAUACGAGUCUAGUACAUGUGCUAUAUAAAUUCAUGUGUGUUUGUGGUGUAAACCAUCUAUAUUGUGUCUUUUAAUCUUGUUUCUUCCUUCUUCUUACAUGUUAGAUGGUUAUAUGUGUUCAUGUGUUGCAUCUUCUCGGUGUGUAUUUUAAUUCUUCUAGUAUAAUAAAAAUACCAAAAAGACAGUGAAGAAAAUCUGAACCUUCCUUUACCCUUUUUACAUUUUCUUUGGUGACGAUCUUUGGGUACAACCUUGUUUAGUGUAGGUUUAUUUUCUUGCAUUCAUAAUCUGAAUUGUGUUACCUAGCUUUAGCCAAGCACGUUCAUUGAUUUGCCUAGUCCCUGAGGAGAACACGACACUCGUAGUUUGGGGCGUAAAAACCCCGCUAUAUUACAACUGAUCAGUGCCGAUGAAACUUGCUAGUUAUAGGUGUCAAUCAUAAGUAUGCGUAACCAUUAUGUGUCUCCCGUUCGAAAGGGUUACAUCUAUAAAUAUGCAUGUAUUUGCAUAUUUUAUAAUCGUGAUUAUUUCUAAUUGUCCAACGUUAUCCAUGGACAACCCGAGUAUGUGUAGAUUGGGUUCAUUUUCCCAUAUGCUCAGCUCCGGAUCCGAUGCAGAAUUUCGUCAGUGCCUCCCUGUUGUUCUCUGGGUACACAUCCUCUCUGCUUAUUGCCGAGACGUGUAUCAGGAGAACAGCAGGGAGGUGCUGCCAAAAUUUUGCGUCGGAUCUGGAGCAGAGCAUGGGAAAACGAACCCGAUCUACACAUACUCGGAUGGGAUUAGGACCUAUCCUUACCUAUUAGCGUGUAGGUUGCAUAGACGUAAUAAAACUAACAAACUCCAUUAACUGAUGGAUAUGGUUUGCCUAAUUAUGUAUAUAUUUCUUGUUUGUCCAGUAGGAAGUCAAUAUGAGUGACCGUGCGUGGAUGUACACCGACUACACUAGUCAGUAGGUUUGGACCGAGGAAUGGUUAACAAAACUAAGGGGUUUGUUAGAGCCGCAUUUGCAAAUGGCCAGAAAUUUAGCUGGUGCCCCUGUGUCCGGUGCGACAACUAUAAUCAGAGGGACGGGCUUCAAAUGAGUAAACACCUGCAGAAGUUUGGUUUUACGCCUGGUUAUACGGUCUGGACAUUACAUGGUGAGUCUGCCCAACAUGCUAGAGCCGAGGUGGUUCGUCGUCGCACCGACGAGCAUGGUACCGGGACCGCAGACAUGGUGCAAGAUUUUGAUGAUGCUCGGGACUCGGACGAGGAGAUGGAGGAAUCUGCAAAGGCCUUCACUGAAAUGUUGGAGUCCUCAAAACGUCCUCUCCACGAGCACACUGAGCUUUGUUAGCUGGAUGCCAUCUCACAAAUAAUGGCUUUGAAGGCUCAAUUCAACUUGGGCAGAGAAUGCUAUGAUGCGAUGAUGACAGUUUUCGGACGAUUUCUACCCAAAGGCCAUGUGCUACCUCCAAACCCGUACCAGUCAGACAAAAUCCUCCGUGCUCUUAAGAUGCCCUAUGAGAAGAUACAUGCCUGUGAGAAAGGAUGUGUCUUAUUUAGGCUUCAAUAUGAGGACUUGAACUAUUGUCCCAUUUGCAAUUCUUCCAGGUAUGUUGUGGUAGACAACGGUAUGGGUGAGAAGACGCAGACCAAAAUACCCAUUAAUGUUCUUCGGUAUAUGCCAAUCGUACCAAGACUUCAACGUCUUUUCAUGGUCGAAGAGACGGCCAGAUAGAUGACAUAGCACAAAACAGGCAAAAGAACCAAACUAGAUGCAGAUAGGAAUGUGAUGAUGGUGCACACAUUGGAUGGUGAAGCGUGGAAGCGCUUCGAUGUAUUACAUAAGGAAAAAACAACAGAUCCAAGGCAUCCUCGAGUCGCCGUCAGCACAGAUGGGUUCAGUGUGUUUGGUCAGAUGGCAGCCCCAUACAAUUGUUGGCCCGUGUUUGUCAUUCCACUCNNNNNNNNNNNNNNNNNNNNNNNNNNNNNNNNNNNNNNNNNNNNNNNNNNNNNNNNNNNNNNNNNNNNNNNNNNNNNNNNNNNNNNNNNNNNNNNNNNNNNNNNNNNNNNNNNNNNNNNNNNNNNNNNNNNNNNNNNNNNNNNNNNNNNNNNNNNNNNNNNNNNNNNNNNNNNNNNNNNNNNNNNNNNNNNNNNNNNNNNNNNNNNNNNNNNNNNNNNNNNNNNNNNNNNNNNNNNNNNNNNNNNNNNNNNNNNNNNNNNNNNNNNNNNNNNNNNNNNNNNNNNNNNNNNNNNNNNNNNNNNNNNNNNNNNNNNNNNNNNNNNNNNNNNNNNNNNNNNNNNNNNNNNNNNNNNNNNNNNNNNNNNNNNNNNNNNNNNNNNNNNNNNNNNNNNNNNNNNNNUUAACAACGAAUUGCAAGAAACUUGGGAUAAUGGGUUCAAGACAUACGACACCUUUAGCAAACAGAACUUCAUAAUGCGUGCCUGGUACAUGUACUCGACGCAUGACUUCCGGUGUAUGCGCUAUUCGUUGGCUAGUGUGUGCAUGGAAGGUUCCCGUGCCCCACAUGCAAGGGAGAUCUUGAGUUUCAUUGGCUGACGGCGGGGUGCAAGUAUAGUUGCUUCGACUUGCAUAGACAGUUUCUAGAUCCUCGCCAUAAGUUCAGGCAAGACAAGAAGAACUUCAUGAAAGGUAGAGUUGUCAAACACUCUGCACCACCUGCGUUGAUAGGCCAACAGACCCUAGAUCAGAUAAACGCUCUCGAGCUAGAUCCAGAGCGUCCAGGGUAUUUCAAGGGGUAUAAUAAGGAACACGCACGGACUCACAAGACAUGCUUCUAGGAUCUGCCUUACUUCAAAGACCUCAUUUGUCCACACAACAUCGACGUGAUGCACAAUGAAAAGAAUAUCGCUGAAGCCAUUUUUGGUACAUUGUUCGACAUAGAGGGGAAAUCAAAGGAUAAUACUAAGGCUAGAGACGAUCUAGAGGAGCUCUGUGAUAGACCUUUACAAAACAUUCAAAAACCGAAAGGAAAGCGGAACUGAAAUAAGCCAAAGGCAUGGUUCAAUCUUGGAAGGCCAGCUAUGAACGAAAUUCUUUUGUGGGUGAAAAUGCAGUUGAUGUUCCCCGAUGGGUAUGCAACUAAUCUAAAGAGGGGAGAGGAUCUUGAUAAAUUGAAAAUAUUUGGUCUAAAAAGUCAUGAUUGGCACAUAUGGAUAGAGCGGAUAAUGCCGGUGAUGUUGCGUGGCUUCAUCCCUGAGGAUGAAUGGCUAGUACUGGCAGAGCUGAGCUAUUUCUUCCGUGUUCUUUGUGCGAAAGAACUAUCGCCUGGCCUCAAAGAAGAAAUGGAACAUAUGGCGCCAGAGUUGAUCUGCAAGUUAGAGAUGAUCUUUCCGCCAAGCUUCUUUAAUCCAAUGCAACACUUGAUUUUGCAUCUCCCGACCAAGGCACGAUUGGGGGGCCCGUGCAAAAUCGUUGGUGCUACUCAACUGAGAGGAUGCAGAAGCGCUUCGAGCAAAAUGUAAAAAUAAACGUAGAAUAGAAGCAUCGAUGGCCAAGGCAUUCAUCACUGAGGAGGCGUCAAACUUCGUGACAGCACACUACGAAGCCAAAAAACGUCAUUUGCAUAAUCCGAAGCGUCGGUAGAAUGCUGACGAGCCUACAAAGGGUCAAUGCAACCUCAGCCUAUUCAAAGGGAAUCUCGCACCAUCCAGUGCUUGGAAACCAGUAUCGUUGGAUGUUGAAGAAUGGCGGACCAUUUCGCUGUAUCUCUUUAACAACCUAACAGAAGUGCGGCCGUACAUCGAGUAAGAUCUCGUCACAUUGUUUCGCAACUUCUAAUUUCUUUGAACUGCUCUUAUUCCUAGAUAUUUGAUGCAGUCGAUACGUCGCCAUAUUCUCGUUUGGAGUGGUGAUCCAAAAGGAUUAUGUCGAAGAGUAUGAGUUUCUGGCAAAGCAAGGAGGCGAAUAUCCCAGUUUCAUCUCUUGGUUCAAAAAAAUGGUAAUUUCCAUUAGACCCUUUCAUUUCUUUGGCUAAUUUGCGACUAAUGCAACAAUCCUUUCUUAUUAAAUUUGUAGGCUAAUUUAGAGAUUAUGGAUGCCGAAUUGAGACAAGUAGCUAAUGGUUUUGACUAUAAGGUCUGUUCAUUUGACAAUUACGACAUCAACGAGUAUCACUUUCGUACCUAUGGCAAAGAGCUAUCUAUUGCCAACCGAAAGUCUACAAAUUGUUGUGUCUCUGCUAUCGUCGAAGGAGGUGUCGAGUAUUAUGGAAGAGUUGAAGCAAUUUAUGAACUUCAAUUCUAUGGUGAUAACCCACCAAACGUCGUACUCUUCGGAUGUUAUUGGUUCCAGCCCAGGGAGACUAGAAGGACUCAUGAACAUAUAGGGCUAGUCGAAAUCAAACAAAGCACCCAUUUGGAUGUUCCCGAUGUCUAUAUUACGGCUCAAUGGGCAACCCAAGUUUUCUAUCUAUUGUGGGCCUGUCAAAGUGAUCCAAAUCUCAGUGGUUGGGAUGUUGUUUAUGAAGUGCCGCCACGUGUUAGACCACCUCCCCCCAAUGAAGAGGAUUAUGAACGUCACGUUAACCAAGACGCAUAUGAUGAAGGAUAAUUCUUCCAAGAAACACGUCUUGCCAAAAAAAAUUCAAGAAACGCUCUACUCCACCCCAGAACAUUGAUGUAGACAAUGAUAGUGAAUCCGACCCUGAGCCGGAACAAGACGAGCCGGAAGAAGAAGAAGGUACUGCUGCAGAUGACCUGUCAAUGCUUGAACGAUUACGUAAAGGUGGCCUUCCACAUGAUGAUGCAGUUAUUAAUGAUGAUGAUGAGCACGUCAUUACCGAUAGUGAUGAUGAUGAUGCAUUUACUAAUGAUGAUGAUGAGCACGUCAUUAUCGAUAGUGAUUCUUAGGUAUUCAAUUUUUUAUGUUGUACUCUGUAUGAUUUAUAUAGGUGGUAUGUAUAAUUUUCUUACUUUGUAUGAUUGUUUCUUAUACAUAGUGCCAUGGUCUUGAUUUUCGUCCCCGUCGGCCCUCGUCUGCUUUAUGAUUCGGAUGUGGUAAGUUCUUUUUCAUAACUAUUUGUUGCAUUUCGCAUUUAUGACAAUUAUGGCCAUCAAGUUGACAUAUAGAUAUUUUAAUCUAGGAGGUAUGUGAACCGGAAUUUGAAACCGACCCUCUUGUCGAGAAGUUAAAUUUAGUUGAAAAAGAAAAUGAGUAUUUGAAAGAAAAAAUUAAAAGAAUUGAAGAAGAGAAGAUGACCUUGGAGUUGUAUGUUGUCGAUGUCAUCGAUGAUCACAAGAUGAAGAUGAAUGCAAUGCGCCUGAAGCUUAAGAAGAUUAGAAAUAUGCCAUUGAUAAUGAGGCUUGGUAUCAUUAUGCCCUUGGAUCAAUUGUUACCUUAGUUGCGAUCUUCAUCAUAUUUGUUGUGAUGAGGGUAAGUUUUCUCUGAUGUUUUGCUUUACAAAUGGAUACUUAGCUUAUUUUCCUCCUAAAUGGCAUAAUUACCUAAGUUACAUAAAAAAUGAGCUAUACUUGCUUAUUCAGUUCAUUUAUGACAUACUUAGCAUACUUAGGUAAAAAAUGGCAUGAUAAUCUUUGUUACCUCCAAAAUGAUAUAGACUUAGCUUAUUUUCCUCGAAAAUGACAUAAUAACCUUACUAAGCUCCAAAAUGACCUAUUUACCUAGCUNNNNNNNNNNNNNNNNNNNNNNNNNNNNNNNNNNNNNNNNNNNNNNNNNNNNNNNNNNNNNNNNNNNNNNNNNNNNNNNNNNNNNNNNNNNNNNNNNNNNNNNNNNNNNNNNNNNNNNNNNNNNNNNNNNNNNNNNNNNNNNNNNNNNNNNNNNNNNNNNNNNNNNNNNNNNNNNNNNNNNNNNNNNNNNNNNNNNNNNNNNNNNNNNNNNNNNNNNNNNNNNNNNNNNNNNNNNNNNNNNNNNNNNNNNNNNNNNNNNNNNNNNNNNNNNNNNNNNNNNNNNNNNNNNNNNNNNNNNNNNNNNNNNNNNNNNNNNNNNNNNNNNNNNNNNNNNNNNNNNNNNNNNNNNNNNNNNNNNNNNNNNNNNNNNNNNNNNNNNNNNNNNNNNNNNNNNNNNNNNNNNNNNNNNNNNNNNNNNNNNNNNNNNNNNNNNNNNNNNNNNNNNNNNNNNNNNNNNNNNNNNNNNNNNNNNNNNNNNNNNNNNNNNNNNNNUUCUUGCUAGUCUUAUUCUUCUUCUUCUUCUUCUUCUUCUUCUUACUUUCUUCUUCUAACUUUCUUCUUUCCCUAUUUGCAGAUUUGCUUUAGAUGAGGAAGCUUGCGUCGAUGGAGUCUACUCUUCUCUUUAUGCUUCCUUUUUGUUUUGAUUUUGUAGGAUGAACAAUGUGAAACUUGCUACCUAUAUAUGCAUGUAUGGUUGAAUCCAUUGUAUGCUUGUUGUUGGAUAUAUAUGUUGGCUAGCUAUAUAUGUUGCAUAUGGACUUUUGAUUUGCUAUGUAUAUGUGUUGGAUGAUCAUAUCCAUAUGGUAGGGAUAUGAUUUGGUAUGUAUAUGUGUUGGUAUGCUUGUCGAAAGUAUUUUCAUAUGUGUGUAUAUAUAUAUAUCUGUGAAAUUCUGUGAAACUGAAUGAAUUUAAGAAAAAACAGAAAAAACAAGGGCUAUACAAGAUCUUUGCCGUCUGCUAGCGGACGGCAAAGAGGACACAUGGCAGUCACCUGUGCAAACUGGCAACACUGGCUGCCUAUUUGGUCAUUUUGCCGUCUGCAAGCAGACGGCAAAGUGACCAAAUAGGCCUGGCAAACAGGGACAUCUAUGCCGUCUGCUGGCCGAUGGCAUAGCUAGCCACGUGGCAGCAUCCCAGUGCUGCCCUAGCUAAGCUCUUUGUCGUCCGUCAGCGGACGACAAAGAGCUUUGCCUCUUUGCCGUCGGCUGGCGGACGACAAAGAACGCCGUUAACCCCUAACGGCUCUCACCUCACACUGCUGCCGUCCGUCGUCGUUGACGUCUGCUGGCCUCGGAUGGCCGACGGCACAAUCCUUUGCCGUCCGUUUCUACAAAGCGGAUGGCAAAGAAGGCCUUUGCUGGCAUGUGUUCAACUGGACGGUUUGCCGUCUGCUGGCGGACAGCAAAGGAGUUUGCCGUCCGUGAUCCAUGCCUUUGCCAUCCACCAUGGCGGACGGCAAAGAAGUGGAUUCCAGUAGUGGAUGUCUAACUUGUUUUUGCAGGGCAUGUUGCGAUGUGGUAUGGCCAAAACGUGAUGUGCUAUAUGUUGAUGUAUGAGAUGAUCAUGUUUUUUAAUAGGUUCAUGAUGUGCAUGUCGAUGAGUAUGGCAACCGGUAGGAGCCAUAGGGUUGUCUUUAAUUUAUUGUAAGACCUGUGUGUCAACUAAUAAUUAAUGCCAUGUAGUUGCUUUACUUUAUCGCUAUGUGUUAGCAAUAGUUGUAGGAGAAAUACUUGGCAAGACAACCACGUGACGACACAAUGAUGGAGAUCAUGGUGUCAUGCUGGUGCUGGUGGAGAUGGAACCAGAUCCUCUAACCUUCGAAGGAAUGUCAUGACGCUACAGUGCUAGUCUAGUGUAAAACGAAGAAGGAAAGUUAGGGACUAUUAGUAGGUAGUUAGCAUGUUAUUUACUGUUGAUAUUUUCUGUAGAUGUAAAUAAUACAAAAUUAAUUUUAUUCCUAAUCAAUUUGUUAAUAUGUAAUUAUUAUAAAUGUACAUAAUGGAUCAUCAAUUUAAAAAUUAAUUUAAGUCAUUUUAGCUUUAAUCAUAUGAUAGGAAGAAGGAAAGUUAGGGCAUUAUAGCUUCUCUAACAUUCCUUCUGGAUGUUAGAGGAUCCAGUUCCGAUGGAGAUCACGCCGGUGCUUUGGAGAUGGAGAUUAAAAGCACAAGAUGAUAAUGACCAUAUCAUGUCACAUAUUUUGAUUGCAUGUGAUGUUUAUGUUUUAUGCAUCUUGGUUUGCUUAGGACGACAGUAGCAUUAUAAGAUGAUCCCUUUGCUAAAUUUCAAGAUAAAAUAUGUUCUCCCUAAGUAUUCACUGUUGCAAAACUUCGACGUUUCGAAGCACCUCGUGACAAUCAGGUGUGAUAGACUCUUCGUUCGCAUACAAUGGGUGUAAGCCAGUUUUGCACAUGCAUAAUACUUGGGUUAAACUUGACGAGCCUAGAGACAGGCAUGACCUCAGAGCACGAAGGAUUGAAAGGUUGAACAUGAGUCAUAUAGUAGAUGAUCAACAUAGAGAUGUUCACCAUUGAUGACUACCCCAUCUCACGUGAUGAUCAGACAUGGGUUAGUUGAUAUGGAUCAUGUAACACUUAGACAACAUGAGGGAUGUUGAUUUCAGUGGGAGUUCACUAGUAAUUUGAUUAAGUAGAAAACAUGGCCUUUCGUUCAGGCCAAAUAAGCCCAUUAGUCCCGGUUUUGUCACGAACCGAGACCCAUGGGGGCAUUGGUCCCGGUUCGUGAGGCCAGGGGGCCUGCCGGGCCUCGUGGGGGCAUUGGUCCCGGUUCGUGAGGCCAGGGGGCCUGCCGGGCCUCGUGGGGGCAUUGGUCCCGGUUCGUCUGGCCCCUUUGGCCCCAGUUGGUGGGACGAACCGGGACCAAUGGGCCUCGCUCCUGGUCCACCAUCAUUGGUCCCGGUUGGUGGCUUGAACUGGGACCAAAGGGUGACCUUUAGUUCCGGUUCAAGCCAUGAACCGGGACCAAUGGUGAUCCUAUAUAUACCCCCUCGCUGGCGAGCAAAGCACUCCACACUGCUCUGUUUUUUUUGGCCGGCGAGGGGAGGGCUUUGUGGUGCUCUAGCUCACCGCCUAUGCACAUGAGGUGUUCGAUGGAAUGCCUGAGCCACACUACUUAAGCUUUCUCCUUUCCAAGCUCAACCUCCAAGCUCCAUUUUCCUCAAUAUUUGUAUAGGUUUAGCGGUCCGUCACGUCCUGUCCCCAUCUUCACCGCCGUCGAUCGCCCGCGCCGAUCUCGUUGCCGGCACCACCGUGGUGAGCCUCUUGUUCUUAUCUUCUUUCUGGAAGGAAAAAAAUUCUUACUUGUAUGUUUAGAUAGAUACUUGUAUAAUUUUCUUACUUUUAUUAUUGCUUCUUAUUAUAUAGUGCGAUGGUUUUGAUAUCCGCCCCCGUCGGCCCUCGUCCUAUCUAUGAUUCGGAUGUGGUAUAUAUAUUAUCUUUUAUAACUAUUUGGUUCAUUUAUUGUUUAUGACAAUUAUGCCGACCAACGUGACAUAGAUUUUAUUUAUCUAGGAGGUAUGUGAACCGGAAAUUCCAACCGACCCUAUUGUCGAGCGGUUAAAUUUAGUUGAAGAAGAAAACAAUUUCUUGAAGGAAAAAAAUUGAGGAGGAGAAGAUGAUAUUGGAGUUGCAUGUUGCGGAUGUCGUCGAUGAUCACAAGAUCAAGAUGGAUGCAAUGCGCUUGAAGAUUAGAAAGAUUAGAAAAUAUGUCAUUCAUAUCGAGGUUUGGUACCGUUAUGUCGUUGGAUCAAUUGUUACCUUGGUUGCGAUUAUGAACUCAUUUGUUUUCGCAUUGAAAUGUUUUACAUAGUUUCAAUGUAUGUUUUAAUUAAUUAGAUGCUCUGAAGAGCUAUAUGUUGUUCAAUGAGAACUAUGUAUGUAAUUUGGUUUUAAUGUGAUGAUGAACUUCUUUUGAUUUGGUCACUUAAUUAUCUAUUCAUGAUGUUCUGUAAUGGUUUUUGACACACUUAAUUAUAUAUAAUGCACGCAGAUGAACCGGCAAUGGAUGUACGGUGACAGACACACCUCCGAGUACAUUAAGGGCGUGCAUAAUUGUCUCGAAGUGGCUGAGGCAAACAAGUAGAAUGGUUUUAUGUGUUGUCCAUGCCCUAUAUGUGGGAAUACGAAGUCUUACUCUGACUCGAAAACCAUUCACACCCACUUGCUUUAUAACGGUUUCAUGCCACACUAUAUGUUUGGACCAAGCACGGAGAAAUAGGGGUUAUGAUGGAAGACAGCGAAGAAGAAGAGGACGAUGACAACUAUGUGCCCCUUGAAUACGGUGAUGCUGCAACGGGGGAAGCUGUUGAAGAUCAAGAGGAACCAGACGAUGUGCCCGAUGAUGAUCUCCGCCGGGUCAUUGUUGAUGCAAGGAGACAGUGCGAAAGUCAAAAGGAGAAGCUGAAGUUCGAUCGGAUGUUAGAGGAUCACAAAAAAGGUUUGUACCCCAAUUGUGAAGAUGGCAACACAAAGCUCGGUACCGUACCAGAAUUGCUGCAGUGGAAGGCAGAGAAUGGUGUGCCUGACAAAGGAUAAUGAAUUUCCCGACAGUACGUACACAGCAAAGAAGGUUGUAUGCCUUCUAGGAUUGGAGGUGCAGAAGAUACACACAUGCCCUAAUGACUGCAUCCUAUACCAUGGUGCGUACGAGGAUUUGAUCACAUGCCCGGUAUGCGGUGCAUUGCGGUAUAAGAUCAGACGAGAUGACCCUGGUGAUGUUGACGGCGAGCGCCCCCGGAAGAGGGUUUCUGCCAAGGUGAUGUGGUAUGCUCCUAUAAUACCAUGGUUGAAACGCCUAUUCAGAAACAAAGAGCAUGCCAAGUUGAUGCGAUGGCACAGAGAGGACCAUAAGAAAGACGAGAAGUUGAGAGCACCCGCUGAUGGGUCGCAGUGGAGAAAAAUUGAGAGAAAGUACUGGGAGGAGUUUGUAGGUGACGCAAGGAACGUAUGUUUGGUUUAAGCGCGGAUGGCAUUAAUCCUUUUUGGGGACAGAGCAGCAAUCACAACGCUUGACCCGUGACUCUAUGUAUCUAUAACCUUCCUCCAUGGCUGUGCAUGAAUCGGAAGUUCAUUAUGAUGCCAGUUCUCAUCCAAGGCCCUAAGCAACCCGGCAAUGACAUUGAUGUGUACCUAAGGCCAUUAGUUGAAGAACUUUUACAACUGUGGAUUGGAAAUGGUGUAUGUGCGUGGGAUGAGCACAAACAGGAGGAAUUUGACCUGCAUGCGUUGCUAUUUGUCACCAUCAAUGAUUGGCCUACUCUCAGAACCUUUCAGGACAUACAAACAAGGGAUACCAUGGAUGCACGCAUUGCUUAUAUGACACCGAAAGUAUAUACCAGGACAAAUGCAGGAAGAAUGUGUACCUGGGGCAUCGUCGAUUUCUUCCGACCAACCAUCAAUGUCGAAAGAAAGGCAAGAAUUUCAAAGGCGAGGCCGAUUACCGGAAGAAGCCCGCCAUGCGUACCUGUGAUCACAUGCUUGCUAUGGUCAAUGAUUUAAAAGUAAUCUUCAGAAAGGGUCCCGGUGGACUAUCUGUUUGGAAUGACGCCGAGGGACGCGCAUCCAUGUGGAAGAAGAAAUCUAUAUUUUAGGACCUACCCUACUGGAAAGACCUAGAGGUCCGCUCUUCAAUCAACAUGAUGCACGUGACGAAGAACCUUUGUGUGAACCUGCUAGGCUUCUUGGGCGUGUAUGGGAAGACAAAAGAUACACCGGAGGCACGAGAGGACCUGCAACGUUUGCAUGAAAAAGAUGGCGUGCCUCCAAAACAGUAUGAAGGUCCUGCUAGCUACGCUCUUACCAAAGAACAUAAGGAAAUCUUCUUUGAAUGCCUGCUCAGUAUGAAGGUCCCAUCUGGCUACUCGUCGAAUAUAAAGGGAAUAAUAAAUAUGGUAGAGAAAAAGUUCCAGAACCUAAAGUCUCAUGACUGCCACGUGAUUAUGAUGCAACUGCUUCCGGUUGCAUUGAGGGGGCUUCUACUGGAAAACAUUCGAUUAGCCAUUGUGAAGCUAUGUUCAUUCCUCAAUGCAAUCUCUCAGAAGGUGAUCGAUCCAGAAAUCCUACCAAGGUUAAGGAGUGACGUGGCAUAAUGUCUUGUCAAUUUCGAGCUGGUGUUCCCACCAUCCUUCUUCAAUAUCAUGACGCACGUCCUAGUUCAUCCAGGCGACGAGAUUGUCGUUCUGGGCCCUAUAUUUCUACACAAUAUGUUCCCCAUUAAGAGGUCCAUGGGAGUCCUAAAGAAUAUGUCCGUAACCGCGCUAGUCCAGAAGGAAGCAUCUCCAUGGGCCAUCAAACAGAGGAUGCCAUUGGGUUUUGUGUUGACUUCAUUCCUGACCUUAAGAAGAUAGGUCUCCCUCAAUCGUGGUAUGAGUGGAGACUGGGUGGAAAAGGCAUGCUAGGAGGGGACUCAAUAAUAUGUAGGGACGGGCAUUCUUGGUCUCAAGCACACUACACGGUUCUACAGAAUUCAACCUUGGUAACCCAGUAUGUUGAUGAACACAAGAACAUUCUGCGCUCCAAACACCCGAACCAGUGUGACAACUGGAUUACAUAUGAACACAUCAGGAGUUUCGGCAGUUGGUUCCAAACAUGUCUCAGGUGUGACAACACUGUUUCUGAUGACCUGUACUCGUUGGCGAGGGAACCAUCUUCGACUGUAAUGACUUACAAAGGGUAUGCGAUAAAUGGGAAUACAUUUUACACGAUCGCCCAAGAUCAAAAGAGCACCAACCAAAAUAGUGGUGUCCGCUUUGAUGCAGCAACCAAGAGGGGAAAGGACACAUAUUAUGGUUACAUAGUGGACAUAUGGGAACUUGACUACGGAUAUGAUAUUAAGGUCCCUUUGUUUAAGUGCAAAUGGGUCAAUCUGUCAAGAGGCGGGGUACAGGUAGACCCACAGUACAGAAUGACAAUAGUGGAUCUGAACAAUCUGGGGUACACAGAUGAACAAUUCGUCCUAGCCAAUGAUGUGGCGCAGGCUUUCUAUGUGAAGGACAUGUCAACCAAACCGAGAAAAAGAAAAGAUAAGGAAGCUUAUACAUCAUACGAUGAGCCAAAGCGCCACAUAGUUCUUUCAGGAAAAAGAGACAUCGUGUGAUUGGAGGGCAAGACAGACAUGUCUGAAGAUUAUGAAAAGUUUCAUGAAAUUACUCCCUUCAAAGUCAAGGCUGAGCCAAGCACCCUGUUAAACGAUGAAGAUUAUCCAAGGUUAUGGUGCAAUAAGCAAAGGACACAAGCGAAGAAAAAGUGAAGACUUUCUAUCAGCAACUAUUAUGAUCAUGCCUUUGAUCUAGAAUAUCACUGGAGUUACAUGUGAACAAAUGAAAUCCCUUUGUCACAGAUGAGUUUUCGUCCGAAACCCUGAUACUUCCAAAGAGAUUGUCUGUUUUGUACAUGAAGUGCAUCCAGUUUUUGUCGUAACCCUCUCAACUUUUUAUCACAUGCUAUGUGGGUGAAAUGAUGAUACCAUGCCAACUUUCAACUUUUUCAGAGUUCAUUUGUAGUGCUUUUCAAUUCAAGGGUCAUUUAGCUCAAAAAUAAAUUAGUACAGGCAUGAAAAAUACCAAAGGAAGUAUGAGAGGGUAGAAAAUUGAUGAUGUGGCUUUGAAUGGUGCAGUUUGAACACAGUCUGGAGUGCAAAUAAGUUCAAAAAAAUGGAAUCCCUUUGUAACACAUGAGUUUCCGUCCGAAACCCUCAUACCUCGAAAGAGAUUGUCCAUUUUGCACACGAAGUGCAUCCAGUUUUUGUCGUAACCCUCUCAAGUUUUUAGCACAUGCUAUGUGGGUGAAAUGAUGAUACCAUGCCAACUUUCAACCUUUUCAGAGUUCAUUUGUAGUGCUUUUCAAUUUUAGGGUCAUUUAGCUCAAAAAAAUCAGUACAGGCAUGAAAAAUACCAAAUGAAGUCAGAGAGGGCUGAAAAUUGAUGAUGUGGCUUUAAAUGGUGCAUUUUGAACACACAAAAAGUCUCGAGUUCAAAUAAGUUCAAAAAAUGGAAUCCCUUUGUAACACAUGAGUUUCCGUUCGAAACCCUGACACUUCGAAAGAGAUUGUCCAUUUUGCACACGAAGUGCAUCCAGUUUUUGCCGUAACCCUCUCAACUUUUUUGCACAUGCUAUGUGGGUGAAAUGAUGAUACCAUGCCAACUUUCAACCAUUUCAGAGUUCAUUUGUAGUGCUUUUCAAUUUCAGGGUCAUUUAGCUCAAAUAAUGAACUAAUAUAAAAAAGAAUGAACUAAUAGCAAAAAGAAUUGACUAAAAAUAAUCAAUUAAAAUAUUCUGUUAUGAUCAACUAAAACAAAACUAUAAUAUCCUUCAAAAGCAAAAAGAAUCAACUAAAAAGCUUUUAUAAAACUCCAAUAUCAAAAGGAAUCAACUCAAAACACUUUUAUAAACCUCUAGUAUUAUUGAAACUAAAAAUAUAUAAAAUUUAUGCAACCAAAAUUAUCAAAGUAUUUUCUGUUCAAAACAUUAAAAGCAAAAAGAAUUUUCAUAAAGAAUUUUUUUGUUAGAAACUUUAAUAGCAAAAAGAAUUAUCAUAAAGAAUUUUUGUGUUAGAAAAUAAAAUAACAAAAUCUGUUUUUGAAUAUAAUGAUAAAACACAGUAAUAUUAAAUAGCAAGAAAAAGAAUCACUCAAAAAUUUAUUUUUAUAGUAAACUUAUUCAAAAACUAGUGAUUCACACAAAUUUCCAAAAAUUCAAAUUUAAACUAUUCAAAUUGGAAAACAAAUGGCACUAAGAGAAAGUUUAUAAUUUUUAGUAUCACUUCAAAAAAAGACACAUCCGUGACAUUUUGGCCCAAACGAAUUUUUUUUCUGUCAUACUUAUGACACUUCUAUGACGAUAAUUAUGACAAAACCCGGUAUCAUCAUAGAUGUGGUGGGAUCCUACUUCUAUGACAAAAAAUCAUGACAGAAAAUGGGCUUUUCAUCCUAGGCAGGCCGGAGACGCACCUCCAUGACAUUCUUUGGUCCGUCCAUGAUGGAAAAAAUCGCGGUAGAAGCGAGGGCGAGGAAAAUUUCGGGGAGUUCCCGGUUACGGCGGGUGGUCGGGGCCGAGCGAUGCACGGAGGUUUGCGCCUUUCUCUCAAAUGCGUACGCACAUGGGUGCGAGGCAUUAGGCUCUAACUGGACUCGAGCGAGGUGUUCGCCUAAUGAACCCGAGCGAUUGCACUGGCUACACGUUAGUGAACCCGAGCUAUCGAUGGAUCCCUUGCUGUUAGCUGAACCCGAUCGAGCGAUUCCUUUGCUACUGUUGCUAACUGAAGCCGAUCGACCAGCUGCCUCUUGAUGAAAAAUGAGCAUUGUUGGGGGUUGGAUGAACAGUUCCCGGUCAGGGUUGGAUGAAUAGGACCCCGUGGGGGUAGAUGUCAUUGCCGCUGGAUGAACAGGACCCAGAUCGAGCCGGUUGGGGGUGGAUGAACAGGACCCUGUGGAGGGCUGGUUGAACAGUAGCCGGUGGAGGGCUGGAUGAACAGUAGCCUGUGUAGGGGUGGUUGACAGUAGCCGGCGGAGGCUGGAUGAACAGGAGCCCGUGGAUGAACAGUAGCUGGUGGAGGCAUAAGGGAGACCCCGUUGAUGAACAGUCGCAGGUGGAGGUUGGAGGAGGUCGGCGGUGGAUGAACAGUAGCCCAUGGAGGCCGGAGCGAGGCAGUAGACGGUGGAUGAACAGUAGCCAUGGAGUCCCGUUUUGCGGUACGCCACACCCCCUCCCGGUGAAAAGGACCCCCGUUUCAACCGUAAGAGGUCGAAGAGAAGUCUGUUUCCUCCGUUUUGCGGUACGCCACACUCCUCCCGAUCAACAACACCCCGUUUUGACCGUAGGGGCUCGAACACAAGUCCGUUUCCUCCGUUUUGCAGUACGCCAGACCCUUCCCGAUGAACAGGACCUCGUUUAGACUGUAGGCGGUCGAACACAAGGCCGUUUUUUUCCUGUUUUGCGGUACGCCAGACCCCGUUCCGGCUGUUCCAUCCAAGCCAGUUGGCUCCCAUUGAACACGACACAUUCUGACCCAGUCUGUUACCUCCCGAUGAACAGGAUGAGUUCCAACCUAGUCACUUGGCUCUCGGCGAACACGACGUUGUUUCCUCCGUUCUGACCCAGCCGGUUGGCUGCCAAUGAACAGGACGCCGUUGCUUCCCUCCGCUGCCUCUCCAUGUACACGAUCCCUGGCCGUACGUAUGCGUGAGUAGGCAUUCGAGACCCCGCGUGUAUGUACGUAUGUAUGUGUACACGAUAUAGACGGGAAUGCCUAAACAGCUACCGCUCCUUACUAGGCCACGGUUCAUCGUGGCAGAAAGACCGAUGGACCAAUAUGCACGUACACGUUUGCGACCAGAAUGACAAUGCUACAUAGCCUUGACUGGGUGGGUCCCGGCUGUUAGGGAGGAUAAGGAGGCACUUCCUUGCAUGCAAAGAGGUAGCUGGUGGGUCCGAGCUGACAGGGGGAGGAUUUUUUUUCGCAUAAUAAGGAGGCACUUCCCUACGUGCGAAGAUGUAGCUAGUGGGUCCAUUUGUCAACCUCACCACGUACAUUCCUCUUCCGAUGGUUGUCGUUCGUUAACCACAUUGACCACGCUGCACAGACAACAGCAGGCGGUGGACGACGGUGAGGCAGGGAACAAUGCAGAGCCUGGAAACGUGUGGAGGGUAGUAUGAGGGUUGACUGCUUCAGCUGCGGUGUGAUGUUGUCGUCGCCACAGAAUAACAGGGGGUGUCGGUAAGUAGAGGGAUGGCCUGGCCAGCAGUGGGAGUAGUAGGAGCCGGUGAGGCCUCCACGAUGGCACAACCGACCAUGAGAGGCUGGAGCACACGGUGGUUUGGACGGCUGGAGCACACAGUGGUUUGGACGGCUGGAGCAAGAAAAUCAGAGGUUGAAAAAGCAGGAGGACCGUUGGAUGUUAACAAUCCAACGGUCACUGGUGAUAGAAUCGUUUGUUGACUAAGUUGACAAAGCCCUCCAUAUGCGUCAACUUAGUAGGGCCACAAGUCAGCCUCCAAAUCUGGUGGGCCCCAGCUAUCAUGGGGAGCACUCGUUAUUUUUCACUUAAUAGGGAGGCACUUCCUUCCGUGCCAAGAUAUAGCUGGUGGGUCCCAGCUGUCAUUGGGAGAUACUUGCUUGCGUGCGGCCAUGGACCAUGUGGGUCCUAACUAUCAGUCUCUCCAUGUGCAUCCCUCUUCUGAUGUUGUCGUUUGUUGACAAGUUGACCACGCUGUGCCGAGAACACCAGCACGAUGGACGACGGUGAGACCCAAGAAGGGAAUGACCCGGAGGCGGCGAAGCCACAACAGUUGAGGAAUGAUGGUGAGUAGAGGGAAGGCCUGGCUAGCGGUGGGAGUAGUAGGGGCGGUGAGGCCUGCGCGGCAGCAUAGCCGGCCACGGGAGGCGGGAGCAGGCAGUCCCGUUGGCACUGUAUUUGGCGGCUGGAGCAAGAAGAUCAGAGAUUGAAGAAGCACGACGGCCGUUGGAUUGGCAUCCAACGGUUAUGUCUGUUGACGUAUAUAAUAAGUAAAAAAUCUGGCAUACACGUCAACUUAAUAGGGCCACAAGUCAGACAAUUCCCUAUUUUUUAAUAGUUUUACAGCUCAUUGUAACUUUUUAUGCAAUUUAUUGCAGUCCUUUUUUUGCCAGAGCCAGGGUUAAAAAUUUAAACGAAAUUUCGCAUAUUUCGGUGGGGUCCAAACUAUUUUUAAUACAGAAAUGUCGAGAUAGAUUUAAAGUACUUUGAAGAUAUAUUUAAAUUAGGUUAAAGCCCAGUGAAAUUGGAUUUUGAAAAUGUGAAAAAAUUCAGAAAUUAUAAAGUAAUUGCCAAUUUGUCGUCUGUUUUUUAUAUUUACAGCCCAUUUCAUAUUACUUUCAAGAUUUGCAGCCGCCUUGAAAGAGGUGCAACCCAUCAGGGCGUAGAAAAACAAGUAGGUCUGGAUUGGGUAUUCUUCACAAAAAAUAAACUGGGAUCAUUUUUAGAAAGGAAAAAUAGUUGGGCUGGUCAUGUGGUGAACGUAAAAUAUAAGCCUAGGCUAGACGGGCCACAGCCCAGUUGAAAUCCUGCUCCGUCGCAACAAUAACAGAAAAAGAUACUGCUCGAGCAACUACGUCCCAGGUGUCAGCCGAUCUUGUGUUGUUCUCUUGUCUAUUGGCUAUAUAUGUUGACAAUAUCGUGGGUCCCAGAUGUCAGGAAACCACUAGGAGGAAGCAUUUUCUUUUUCUAUAUGCUGACAAUGGAGAAUAUAAAAAAAUCAGUAGCUUGCUUGCGUACGGCCAUGGACAUGAUGGGUCCCUACUGUCAUCCUCUCCACGUACAAUCCUCUCCCGAUUCCUCUUGUUUGUUGACCAUGUUGACAAUGCAAGAGGGCAGCGCUGCGGCGAGUGCACCAAAGUGCGCGGAGGACGACGGCGAGGCCUCAGACGUCGGCGUUAACGAUUUAGGAGACGGUAGGGUGGAGAUGCGUGCGCUGAGACACAGCCACCCAUGGGAGGUGGAAGCAGGCGGCCCUACCGGGGCUAGUUUGGUUUUGGCGGCUGGAAGAAGACGAGACUGAAGAAACACAACAGACUGUAAAAGCAGCAGCAGUACUUAACAACCUUAACUAAAACUAGCAGGGGCACUUAAAAACCAUAGCUGAAAGCAGUAUGAGUACUUAUACAGGUUCAACCGUACAAAGCACGCGUCGAACAGUGCUACCUUUCCUACUGUUAACCAAGGGUGAGGCCACCAAAGCCCCAGGAGAAGGUCCAGGCGCCACCCCGCGCAUCCACAACCUUCUGAAAGCGGUUUCAUCUCGCAAUGUGGUCAAUAAAUAGGAUAUUCGCUUUAGAGCCAUGGAAAAGCAUGAGCAUAACCUUCUGUCUGAUUCCCCAAGAUGGACGGGCCUUCAUUAUUUGAGACCACCCAUGAAUAAGUAUAUUUUCACCUCCAAGGGGAAUGGAGUAGGUCGACAUAAACAUCAUAUUGUGACCAAGCGCAAGUCUGACACGACCAUGGCCAGGCAUCUGUAUAGGAACAAUGGAACUGGGCAGUUUCUGUUUCAAGAAGAUCAUAGCUGUAAAACUGUGUAUAAGCAAGAGUUUAUGAACAAAAUAUAUAACAGAAAAUAGCUCGUACCAUAAGUUUCUCGACACAGUUGGACCUGUUCAACAUGUGCAGCAGUGGCACACAUAUCCCAUGUGGCCUUCCACAAUUGAAAUGCCCCACAAGGACCUAAAGACGAUCAAUAAAGUGUAGGAACUCAUGGAUGUCGUCCCAAUCAACUUCACUGCCAUUAGUAACAGUCGAUUUCUUAUAGAAUAACAAACGAGUAGCGUUCUUAACUUUCAAAUAACCUACACAUGUCACCAAUUAUAAGAAAUAUUAGUUAGAAGUAGCAUCUUAGAGAGAGAAGGGAAUCACAAAUCGUUGCUACUUCUAAAGUUAAAUUGUGAUUAGUUAGACAUAAUAGGUGGAUUAAGAAGUAAUCAAGGCAACAAGCAAGAACCAGAUACAAAACUAACAUGGAUGAACUACUAGAACAACGUCAGGGUGGAAGAUCACAGUGAAGAUGAGACCAGGUUCUGCUAUUUCCAUCAACAUUCAUGCGCCAACUUUCAGUCUGUAACACUUGAGAAAGUUCAUCUAAGUUCAGCCAUAAAAAAGCAGCGAUCUUCUUGGUUCAUGAUCCCAACUCGAAACUUAUAUCCAUGGAUUGUCUUCAAUGUGCCCAUUAAACUGGUGUAUUCAGUUAUGGCAAGGCCGACCAUCUUGAGUACAUGUGUUCUGGCAAAGCAAGGAAUGCACUGCAGGAAAAAUAUAUGAGAACACAGUGUAUUUGCUAUCCAAAUCUAGAAAUAAUUUCCUCCUUCAUGUCAGUGUUGACCAUGGUACUAGUACCUUUUAUCCAAAUAUAGCAAUCCAAAUUUCCAAAUUAGUCGAGAGCAUGUUCAAAAAACUCCACCCUCCCGGAUAGAAAAGAGGAUUCUAGGAACAUACUGUGCGUGUUUUAAAAUCCUGUGUUAGGAUGAGAAGGAACAAGUGUGGCGUCUCGCCGAGGGUGCAGAAACCUGUAGGGUCCUCGUACUCUGGGCACUGCAAAUGAACAUACUAGAUUCAGUAGGAAGAAAAAUGCAUAAACAACGGUGGCUGCCAUCGUAGGAUUACCCGCGAUCAGGGGACUUGGAUUUAUCAGGGAUGGAUGAAGAAUUCGUACCUUGUUCUCCAUGAGAAAACCCUAUGCAAUCAUUGAGAGGGGUUUUUCUCUAAAUAAGCAGACGAGGGAGAAGGGUAUUCAGGCCCAGAGAAAGUUUUUUUUUCUGAAUAAGAAGACGAGGGAGAAGGGGAUUCAGGCCCAGUGAAAUAUUUCUACUUUGUCCGUCCAGCUCACUUCUAAAGCUAGAAAGGUGGGGUUUUUUGUGAUUUGAAGGCUCAUUGGGAAUUACCGCGGUGCUACGACCGAGGUGAGUCUACCAUGCAGUUGUGCACUCUAAUUUGGUGCAUGGCACGUCGACCCCAUUGUCGGAUCUGGAUGCCCCACAUAUCAGCAAAAGGAAGUAGAAAGGCAGGAGUAACUAGUUACACAUAAAUAUUUUUUUGACAGAGAGAUACUCCCUUUGUAAAGAAAUAUAAAAAUCUUUUAUAUCAAAACUUUAUACAUAAGAAAAUCAAGGGGAAUAUAUAUAACAUAAUAUGGGGGUUCAGCUGAGAAUCUAAUACUCAGACAGUCUCACGGUUCUGGACUUUGGGCCAUAGGCCGAUGGGCCUGCGUGUUUGGCGGCCCAUGUGUUCUACCUCAGCGCAUUUCAUAUUGCAAGCGAUCAGUAUGGCACAUGUUUUAGAUGCUGUCACAAGGCGAAUACAGGAAAUUGAAUAAAGCACAUCAACUUUUAGAAUGAGAUCGAAUGGCAGUUCCAAACCAGCAAUCAGAGUUGCAAUUCUAUCAACGAUAUCCUAAGUGAUAAAUAAUACUAUAGUACUACUUAUACACACAUGACACUUGUUUCACCAUGCCAUAUUAUUAUAUUAAAAUCUCUCAUAGGAUAGAUCAGUUCGGCCGUUGCGUGCUGCUACUGAAGAAUUUCAAAGUUGAUUUGGACCAGCUCUCCUUGCCGAGAAAGUUCAAUUUUGACACCAUCACCGCAAGAUUUGAUUUAGAUUUGAACCUUGAUCAUCAUUUAGCAUCAAUCAUCAUGCGACCAUCCUUUGUGCUUACGGUAUAUUGAGCAAGUUCAUUCACGCCAAGGCUGCAUGGUAAGAGAAACUUGGCCAUGGUCGCCUGGAUUGUUGAAUGACUCCCUCGUUGCUCUAGGAAUUCUCUAUUUGCAAACAAGAAGACAUACACAAACAGUUGGAUUAACAGAAUGAAUCAUGUGAAACAACAUUGAAAAAAAGAACGAAGCACUUGGGCGGCCAAUGCUUACCAAGAAGGUGGAGAUGUCAUUUUUGUAAGGACUUCCGUAUAUGAAGUGUGAACUACAGCCCAGUCUGUUGCUGGUGCAACUGCUAGUUCCGUUGCCGCUGCACUGGCCGGAGCAGAUGCAAGUGCAACUUCAGGUGUUGGUGCAGGUGUCGGAGCCGUUGCUGGUGCACGUGCUGAUGUGACUGGUAGUGCCGCUACUGCUGCCGGAGGUGGUGCUCCUUGUGGAGCUGGUGCCAGUGUCGGAGCAAGUGUCGGUGUCGAUGCCCAAUCCUCCGGUAGAUCUGCCUGAUCCGCUGACGCAGUUGGUGCCCAAUCCUCAAGUGGAUCAGACUGAGCUGCUGCCGCUGUCAGUGCUAGAGCAAGUGCCGUCGGAGAAGGUGCCGGUGCUUGAUCCGUUGCUGAAGGUGGUACUGAUGUGCGAGACAGCAGCGAUCAUCUUUGGUCUGCUAUGAUCAGCUUUCUAACUUGACUAGGCACCGUGACCUUGAUCCGGUCUUUUUCUUCAUUUCUUUCAAACGUGAGAAGGACUAAUUGUGGCGUGUUUGUUAAAACAAACUGCAGUUCAUCAUAGGGCUUCAGAUUGUACUCAGACAACAGACUGAUCCAAUUGUGUCCAGUAAUAUAAGUGAUGGACCGUGCCUUCAUUACUGACACGACAUAAGAAGUAAAACCUGCAAAAAUAACCAUAUAAGAGCAAACCAAACGAUUUAUUAUGUGAUGAAUGUCACAUGGCAAAUCCUGCAUCGUAAAAUUGCAGCAAAAGUAAGAAAACAUGACAUUAAAUCAAUAAAAUUUAGACAGUAAAUCAAUAAGAUUUACUUUAUGUGCACGAGUGUAUCCUUACCAGGAAGUCACUAUGUUCAAGUUGUAAACAGAAGAUUGAUCGUCCAAUUACGCGUGGCAUGCAGGGCCCCCGCUUACUCCCACAAGCAGGACAGUCCAAAUGUCCUGACAAACCGUAUGGACAGAACAUCCAUGGGACUGGAAAUCCUCGUGGGUGGAUAAACCCUGCAAUGCAUGCACAUAUUGGAGUGCAACCAGAAUUGAUAAACCGUCCUCACAAAGAAGAUGAUCUGGAUAUUUCAAAAUAUAUAGACUGAACUUAGUUGACAGACAUUAACAUAGACUGUUCUCAAGACUCACGAGACAAUAAAAGCGGCAGUACUAAACAAUACAGGGUUCACACACACUAAUUAAACUCUACAGACUAUUUUUUGCCACUGACCUACGGGAUGUGCCCCGCAUAACUGACUAGGCCAUGGACUUUGUGAGAGAUGUCUACCAGCAUCAUCCCCAUCUCGUCAACCUUGGAGAACCUAACAGAGUGGUCUUUCCACUCAUAAACAUGAUGAUGAAGACAACUCGCAUCAGAUUUGUCGGGAAGCUUUACAAGAACCACACCCUUCAUAAUCGAAGGCACAACCAGGAAAUUGUUGUGGUCAAGUACACCCUCGAGAACACGCCUCACAACAAUGCUACUGGAAAACACUAGUUCAAGACACAUGGCGACAAGGACACAACACCUGGAUAGUUUAGCAGUAGAACUCAUCCUCAAGUCUUCCAGUUCACAUGACAUGACUUUGAGAACUUCAUCUCCACUGCGGACCUGGUUAUAAUUCAAACAGAAACCAAAUAUUUUAUAACUACCUCCGUUUAGAAAUAUAAGAUGAUUUUCAAUAUUUUACUCCAUAUAAGACUACAUAUACACACAAAAAUGAGUGAACGAAGACAUUAGAACAUGUCUUCAAAGGCAUGAGAGCAGAGGGAUUACUUGCAAUAUCCAUAACACAAGUUACUGAGGCUAAUAUACUCUCUUGAAAGGUAGCAUGGAUGUUCAUAAAGUUGUUGAAAGUAAUCUAUAUGAAAUCAAUGUCAACCUCUCGCAUGUUUUGGUCAAAGGAGGAAUUUAGAAUUGUCAUUUGGCACACAAAAAUCACAUGAAAGAUCACCCAGAAAUUUGUACUACUAGUACUAGUACUGCGUGUUAGAUGAAAAAACACGAUCAAGAUCGAGAAAAAGAUCGUCAAGAAAAGAUAUUACCUGUACUUGCUUAAUGAGGGAUCCUUGAGAGAUUGAGGGGGGCCUGGACAUGGUGAUGGCCUUGAGCUUGUCUGCGGUAGUCUCAACGGGGUGCUUGCGCUUCUUCGUACCCUAAGCCUCGACGGUUUUGGCCAGAGCCACAGUUUUGGCCAGAGCCAUAGACAUCACUUUGGCCGGUGCUCCAGGGUCCAUCAAGAAACUGUCAAAUAGAAAUAAAAGAAAAGAAACCAUAAUCACAAACCCAGAAGAAGAACAGACAGGGAGUUACCGGAUCAGUUUUGGUGUUGCAAAACCGGGCCUUGGCUAGAAUCAACACCAUAGAUGCGCUCACCGUUCCUUCUUUGGGAGAGAAGAACAAUGGCAGAAGCAAGUUGGUGUUUUCUUGAAGAAAUGAGGAACAAGAUGAGGGAGAAGCGAGUUGGGGUUUUCUUCAAGAGAGGAAGCUGAGGGAGAAGAGUGAAAUUAUGGUUGCUUUGUUCGUCCAACUUACUGCUGCAAAGGUGGGGGUUUUGUGAUUUGAUGGCUCAUUGGGCAUUACUGCGGUGCUUCGAUCGGGAUAGUCUACCAUGCAGUUGGGCACUCUAGUACGGAGUAAUUUAGUGCAUGGCUAGUGGACCCUGAUGCUGGAUGUCCCACACGUCGGCAAUAGUGAGUAGCAUGGUUCCCGACGACCAUCGAGGAGGAUCCACACGAUAGAGCAUGUCCACUGUUUCUGAAAAAAAAUGAUUACAACAAGCGUUUCCACUCUUACGACGGAGGAGUGCGAAACACGGCAGCCACUUGAAUUUACAUAGUGCUCAUACUACUAGGCAUGUGCAGUGGUUCAUACGUCAGUAGUACUACAUAAUCAUUUUGCUAGUGUAGUAAAAUAUGACGACAACAAAUGAUAUUGUGCAUAUGUCAACUAUAUGAACAGUAAUGCAACAUAGUACCCCUUUUUUGACUAUCCGGUCGAGAAUGAACGAUGAGAUCGAUGUUAACAGAACUACAUCUAUAGCGCACGGGGAGUAUGGUGCCACAAUACUCCACGAAACAUGAACCAUAUGAAGCACGAAUCAGUGUUAGGCAGGGUGUAUGAAGGGCGCAUGGUAUGGGAGCAAAAGUUCCCUUCUCGACCCACUUUUGGGUGUUUGGCAGAGUACAUCAAGGGUGCAUGAGUCCACACUAGUAGGUUAACAAAAAUACACUAGGAGCAUGCACAAAGAGGGGUGCUGAGAUGAGCAUGCACGAAGAGGGAACAACUAUAUGGAGAUGAGAAUGCAACCAAACACACCCACACGCUUUUUGCUACAGUGAAUGAUCUGCACAGUUUGAGUUUGAUCCAACGGUCAUGUAACGCCGAGACAUGGACAUGCCCAUGCAGAGGACGCCUAAACUCCUCCGAAGUUCCUCUGCUUCUUGAGGCGCAUGACGUUGGUGAUGCAGGGUGCCACCGCCAGCAGAGUCCGCUCACGAUUGAUGGGAGUCAGCUCGUCAAAGACGGCGUCCAAUGGCACGAAUGGAUUCUGGUGAUGGAGCCCUGAGAGGAUUCGUCCGGCAACAAUGACAGCAGCCCACAACCCCUCCUUGUCCAGCUCUGCCCCCACCAUUGGGUGGAGACGGCUCAGCUCCUCGAAGAUAUAGGUGAAGAAGGAGACCAAGUCAGGAAGCCGCAGCUCAUUGAAGUCAACGGGGUGGUUGAAUGGGUUUAGCCCGACGGCCGGCAUGGUCGCGCUAGCACGAUGGUAGGCAUGGCGAAAUCGCAACACGUGUGUGGCAACAUGGUCCACCAAGUGGUUGAGGCAAUCCCAGACCUCGUCAUGAUCGGCACGCAUGCACUCCAGCCGGCUCACCUGACCACCUAUCGUAUCUCCCGCUUUCUGCAGCAACACCGCCGAUGCCUCGAGCAUCUUUGUGGUGGACGCCUGCCGCUUUUGAAGCUCCUGAAGUCCCGCACAUAAAGGAGGAGCAUGCCACUCCUCUCCUCCUUGAGCUCACUGAGCUCCACGUCCUUGGCCCUGAGCUCCACAUGCUUGGCCUGGAGCUCCUGUGUUAGGCGCCUCACCUCAGACUCCGUGACCUGGUGCGCUACCAUGGAACCAGGUAGAAGCAAUGGGGAUAGGAAGCAAAUAGGGUGAAACGGCUGAAAGGCAAUGCAAUCUACGGGAAGGCAGAGGGAGCCAGCCAAGGAGCGGGGGAAUCUUUUGGGUUUCACCAUGGGAAAACACCAGUCGACAACUUUUCACAUCAAGGAGUAGUGGCUUUACAGGCGGAGUCAUCGUGAUAAUAGCUAUCGCGCCUACUCUCGUCAAUCAAAAAAUAAAAAUCCUGCCGCGCCUGCUGCACCCAUAGACCAGAGCAACGCCAAUGUGGAUAUUUAAAUUUACCUGCCGACAAGGAGAUAAAAAAAGGGUGACAGAACAAUUGUGGUGGCGGCCUAGCUAAUCGAGUCGCACUAGCCCAACUAGCUAGCUACUAUGCUUCACUCAUGUACUCGGCGGAAAUGGUUGUCUUUCGUGAUUUGAUGACUCAUUUACUUGCUUCGGCGCUAUGACCAAGGAGGACCCAGAAAAUGCGCGAUAGGGUGUCCGACGUCUCGGCAAGGAAGAAAAUAUGCGUGGACCACCCGGAGGACCCGAAACCUCGCGGUAGGGUGUGCCAUGUCUCGGCACGGAGGAAAAAUGUGUGUGUAAAAAUAUACUGUACCAGACGUACUACCUAUGAUUCGACCUUGGGACCCAGCCAGUCGGUCGAACACCCCACUAGCCACACAACUUCAUCAUGCUAACGUGGCACGGAGGAUAGGUGUGGUUAGCUCCGUCUCGACCAGCCACAAUGUCUCUUGUUCUAGGCGAUUCCUCUAUUUUUCCAAGCUUUUUUUACUUAUAAUAACACCACGACAAGCUCGCGCCGCUUGGUGUGUGCCCGUGCGUCUAAAGGAGACGAUGGAGAGGAGAGAGAGAUCACAGACAUGGGACGCACCAGUAAGUGAGUCAACGGUCAAGCACGUGUUGACGAGCCACUCCCUGUACUCUACUCAACAUAACACUGUAUAAAAUCAAGUUAUUAUGGGACAAAGCCAACAACCAUUGUUGUUUCAGGAUAUUGACUUACACUUUGUAGUCCAGGUUGCCAGUUCGAAUCUCGUCUUCCAGAUUUGUUAGUUUUAGGUCCAAAUUUGAUCAAUGACAAGUGGGACCCCCAUGUGUUGUUCCGAUAUUUCAGUGUAGGAUGGUUUUUUUGCACAAAAACUCUGCGGGGUUAGACAAGUAACGGCACGAGUUACACUUAUUUUGCAAGUUUAGGAACAAAACUGACAGCGGCACAGAAUACACAUCCACCCCGCAGCUUAGAUGCUAUGGUGAUACGAGUUUUUACGUUGGUCGGACUGAGAUCCAAUGGCUUGGGAGUAGUCUUUGUAAUUAUGCGCAAUUCCCAAACUCUCCAUGAUUUUUUUGCAAAUAAAUCAUGCAGGCCUCGUGUGUGCCGCUGCAUCUUGGACCCAACAUCUACUAGUUGCUAACAUUAGGUGCUCCCCGUAGCAUAAUUAGCUGCUACGGUGAUACGAGGUUGUAUGAUCUGUGAUCAGAUGCCACAUGCGUAGUACUUGUACUUUCUGCGCAAUUCCCAAACUCUCUCAGGCAUGUAUUGCAAAAAUAUUCAAACCUCCUACUGUGAGCCGUUAGAUCUCCAGGAACUCGUAUCACCAUAGAAUCUACGGUGCGAGCGCACCUCAUAUUCUCCCAUGCGAUAAAACAUCAGGUGUUCUUGCAGCUUGGAUGCUAUGGUGAGACGAGCUUCGAGGUUGUUCGAUCUGAUAUCCAAUGGCAUCUGAGCAGUCUUUGUGCUUGUAAGCAGUGGCCGAAGUCUUUGGGGGCUUUUAUGCAAAAAAACAUUUGAACCACCAAGGAGUUGUUGGAUCACAGAUCCAACAGCUACGAGGAGCUUGUAUCACCAAAGCAUCUAAUGUGUGGUAGCACAUGAUAUUCUUACAUACAGGAAAAUAUGAGGUCCUCCUUCAUCUUAGAUGCUACGGUGAUACGAGAUUCAAGGUUGUUGGAUAUGGGAUCCAAGGGCAUCUGAGUAGUUUUUGUACAAAAUUGUGUGCAAUUCUCAAACUCGUUAAGGUUUCCUGUAAAAAUGUUAAGACAUCAUGUGAGCUGCUUUAUCUCAGAUCUACAAGCUCCAAGCAACUCGUAUCAGCAUAUAGCAUCUAAGGUGUGGAGGCACAUGAUAUUCUCCUGGGGAGGGGGGGGGGGUGCACAACCAAUUGGUGUUUGGGAGGGUGGGGACAAAUAUAAUGUUCGAAAAAUAUAAUCUAAACAAUCCUAAAUAGAGCUUCAAAAUUUUCUAAGGUCAAGGGAUUAACCCCUGACAAUCUACAUAGCUCCGCCUAAACACAACAUUGGCAUGCAUGUAGUGCCAGACUUAAUGUUCAUGUUUCAGUUUCCUGUUCAUUUUGAAUAUUGAAUUGAAGACCAUGCAUGUCUUACAUUUUACUCCCUUCAUUCCUAAAUAUUAGUCUUUUUAGAGAUUUGAAAUGGACUGCCACAUACUGAUGUAUAUAGACAUAUUUUAAAGUGUAGAUUCACUCAUUUUGCUCUGUAUGUAGUCACUUGUUGAAAUCUCUAAAAGACAAAUAUUUAGGAACAGAUGGAGUAUUUUUGAAUUCGUGUCAUACAUGCAUGGUUUGGGAAAAAUAGAUGCACUAUACUUACUGGAUUUUUGUUGUAUUCGUGUGUGUGUGUGUGUCGUCAUAUGCUUGAUACAUACAAAGUUUUCUCACCACCAUACCAUUCAUCUUUUAUAUUUGAAUUUGCAGUGAAGAACUUACUAGGGAUAACAUGAAAUGUGAAAUCCACGUUGAGAUCACUAUAUCACAAACUCACUCUAAUUCAAGAACUCGUCAUAAAUCAAUUACCAUGUUGAGAUUACUAUUUGCAAGGAAAAUACGGGCAUUGUAAUACAUAUAGAUUCGUUCGACAAUUUAAAAGAUUCCUUUCGUAUUCUCGAAUGGUAGGAGUAGCACCCAACGGCAUACCAGCCAGACCCGGGCUUGUGUUGAUCCUUAAAAAAAUACCCGGGCUCGUGUGUCGUGUCCUUCUGGUGGCAUGCGUGGUACGCACAUUAGCCAACCACAACCAGUCGAGCCUCCGCGUUUCGAAUCGAAAUAUCUGGCAACCAGAAUUCCAGCCCUAGGAAAUUCCCCUCAUGUCCCUGGUCCAUAAUGACUACCAAUGAACAAUGGAGGGAUGCUUUAGUAACUAGACAAUGUUACCUACCGUGCUGAGCAGGGUUCAAUUCCCUCGGUCGCUGGUACCCAAGGUCAGCCGUCAACUCCAUUUCCUAGUAGUACUUAGGAGUACUACACCAGGAUGAGCAUAGAACUGAGCCCCAUUUGUUCGUGCCUAGUACUUGAGUUAAUAUAUCAGGCAAUGCACUGGUACGGAGGGAUUAUCCUUUUACUCUGCAUAUAACUUGUCUGAAGUCUAACUAAGCAGAAUGUUUGACCAAAUCAUUUCUUAAGAAAUAUUAACAUCUACAACUGUAAAGAUGCACCACUUGAAAAUUUAUUGCACGAUGCAGGUUAUGAUAUUGUUUCGAAUCCUAGAUUUUGAAUUUCAGAAAAUCCAAAAGUGACCGGAAAUUCAUGAAACUGAGCAUGGUCUCGUGAUAUGGCACAAAUAUAUUGUCCUAUUUUUUAUUCAAUUUGAGACAAGCUGCUUAUGAGAAGUCACACAAAUUAAGAGCCAAGGUAUUUUAGAAGAAAGACCUGUCAUGUUAGGGCGAACGCUUUCACUAUUCAAACCAUGGGCCUUUACAUGCUGCCACGAGUCCCGCUUCUCAUCGGCAGGUGCCGUCCGAGCAAGCGUGUGAGUCGGCGGGAGGCGUGCGGGCAGACUGAUGCGCCGGCUGACUGGGAGGCGUGCGAGCAGGUCACUGCGCAGGCUCACCGGGAGGCAAGCCCUUUGACAUGGCUCCGCCGCCCACCUUCGUCUCAACUGCCCCCACUUUUAAUGGCACCGGCGCCGCAGUUUAGAAUCACCCCCGCACUACCCAGUAUCGCUACAAUCUUUUCUCUUCCUCUCCGAUUCUCCUAUCGUCUAGCUCCAACCAGCCUGACCUAACCGUACGCCAUGCCGCAUCACGAUGGUCUGCCCUUAGUCUUCCAGUUUCCUAAGGAAGACACCCCGCUUUGGCACGAGCUUGAACUAGCCUUGCGGGAAGGUGUCGCACCUGUCCCCGCUCCCGUCGCUCCGACUGCGGCAGCGCCCAUCACCGUGCCAUUGAUGGGCUGGGAGUGACACAUGGUCACCGAGCUUGAUGCCAAGGGGUUCAAUGAGGUCCCCGCCGAAUUUCACGCGCCUGUGCACCUGCUAGCGCAUGCGCCUGCGCAUGCACUGACGCGCGCGAUCCUGCCGGUGCCCAUGCACACGAAUAUCUUCGUCCCGCCGUUGCCAGUGCUUGUCCCCGCACGGGUGCCAGUGCCCGCAUCAGCGGCAUGGAUGGCCACCGUCGACCGCUUCCUUGCACCAACGCCUGUCGCCCCCCCCCGCCAGUUGACUCGCUCCUGGAGAUCGAAGUCUAGAACAUUCUGGCCUUCCUUGAAGCUAGGGCCAACGUCCAGGAGUACGCCAACAACAGUGCAAGACGCCACCGUCGCCGUCGCCGUCGGUCAGUGGCCCGAUGACACAUAGAGCACGACAGAGAGAGCCGCUUCCCACUGCAAGACGCCCCCGCCACCACCGUGUAAUCUAAAUUUGCCAUGAAAAAUGUUCGGAUUGCCAUGCUUAAAAUCCGGUCGUUUUUCAUUCUGUUUAUUUUAGAUCAAUCAUCCUAUGAAUGUAAAGUCGGAGUCAGACUGAAUGAAAUCUAUGGUUUGAUCGAUUGAAUGUUCUGCUAGAGCCGUAUCAAGUUAAAUAUAAAACCUCAUCAAGCCACAUGCAUUCCUUCUAACCGCAAUCAUUUCAUAUUAAAUACUACGUCAAUUCCAAAUAUUUUUCUUAGGGAGGUCAAUUCCAAAUUAACGUGCAUUGCACGUACACAUUGACUAGUACUACUAGUAUGUGAAACUGGUGUCGUAACUUGUGAACGCGUCCAGACAUGGUCAACAACAGCAUCGCCCACGAGUUCUUCGUGUUUGAUCGUGAGUCUAAACGUAGAAGGGGAGGAGAGAGAGGAAGCGCAGACAUGGAACUCACCAGUAAGUCAAUGCGAAUAGUACGUGCUAACGAGCUGGUCCCACUAAUGUACUAAAAAUAAUAGUAAAACAUGUUAUCCAUUAAAUAGGCUGUGGUAAUAUAACAACAUUAUAUCAACAUAGGGGGGUACAACAAAUGUUGUUGUACUAUGUUGCCUAUUAACGUGCGGCUUGAAGGCCGUGGUCGCAUGUUCGAUCCUCGUCCUUUUUAAUUUUUAAUUUAUAUAUGGGUCCAAAUUUGUUCCAUGACAGGUGGGCCCCUUCAUGUGUAGUUUGUAGAACUUUAAUUUGUGGGUCGAAAUUUGUUCCAUUACAGGUGGACUAUCGAUGUGUAGUUUUGCAGCUAAUUUGUACUCCCUCCGUCCGGAAAUGCUUAUCAUCAAAAAGGAUAAAAGGAGAUAUAUCUAGACGUAUUUUAGUUCUAGAUACAUCUCUUUUUAUCCAUUUUGAUGACAAGUAUUUUUGGACAGAGGGAGUAAUAAAUAAAGAGAAUUAUAGAGUUUUUUUUGCAAAAAUACCAUGGUGCGAUGUUGCAGGUGAGAAAGGACAUGCGAGAGAGCGGUGACUGAGGCAGGGGGAAAUCAAUUGGGCGAGGUUCGGGGGUUGCAACGGUGUUUGGAGUAGUCGUGGGCCGAAUGCUAUGAAAAUAUAAUCUAAACCCACCAGAAUAAAUGCCUUCACAAAUUAAUCCAAGGUUGGAGUCCCCCUCGCAAUGUAAAUAGCUCUGGCUCUGCAAGGGAUGGAGAGGUAGCUUCAAUGUGCGGAAGAUACCGCGUGAGAAAGCAAGGUCAACCGAGACACAAAUAGAUAGAGAGACAAAGUGAGUGUGGUCCGGCAUUCGUCGAAAAUAUAUAUGCUCUAGAGAGAUACUGUUUGAUUGAGCUUUGGGAAGGGUGACGGAUGUAAGAUAGAUCUUGAGAGAUGAUGCAGUCACAUACAUGUAGAUAUAUUUUGUGUGUGGGAGGAAGCAAGGUCAAUCGAUUACAUAUAUAAAGGUAGAGAGAUUGAGCGCGUGUGGGUAGUCGUGCGAUCGAAAGAGUGAGACGGGUUGGAGAGAGUGACCUAGAUAGACAAUGUUCGUGAGAGAGUAUACAAUACGAAUAUGUUGAAUUGGGCUCAAACAUGGAGAUAUAUUGUUUAUGUCCAAGAAAGAGCAAGGUCAAUCGAGACACACACACACACAUAGAUAGAUAGAUAGAUAGAUAGAUAGAUAGAUAGAUAGAUAGAUAGAUAGAGAGAGAGAGAGAGAGAUUGAGCGAGCAUGGCCUGCCAUGAGUUCGAAAGAGUGGGAGCGGCUUGAAUGGACUGACCUAGAUAGACAAUCUGCGUGAGAGAGUAUAGAGUGUGUCGAUCGAGGCCCGAACGGGGAGAUAUACCAUUUGUGUGUGAAAUAAAGCGAGGUUAAUCGAGACCUAGAUAAAGAGAGCGAGAUUGAGCGAGUGUGGCCCGCCGUGCGGAAGAAAGAGUGAGACAGUCUCAAGAGAGUGACCUAGAUAGACAACGUGCGUGCAUGCGCAUGAGUGGGGGCGUCUACAUAGGCAAUGCAUGUAUCUAGCGAGAGACGGUGGGAGGGAGAGAGAGAGAUAGCUUGACAUGGAGCGCAAUGGCAGGUGUGUGAGGUAGAUACAUUUGGUAACAAAGUGGGAAAAGGGGGUUGUGCAGUUGAGAGAGUUAGAGAUGAAAACAUGGAGAGAAAGAAUGAACGUGUGUUGGAAACCGAUAGCUUCCUAAGGUGGUUAGGAGAGGAAUAUUGAUCAAUACAGGAAGUUUGUAGCGUGUGUGCCGAGGGGGAGGGGGGCUAAAAACAACAUUUGAAUAUAGAUAGUACGACACUUAAUAUCGACGUUUCAAUUUAGUGUACAUUGUAAGAUUUGAAUUGAGAACCAUGCAUAUGGAUUCCAUAAUUAUUUCGAAUUCGUGCCAUACUAGGUUUGGAAAAGAUGAGAUUGGCUCAAUUUUUGUGCUAUUUUGUAGGCCAUAUGUUUGAAUGCACCCAAAGUUUUCUCACUACCAUGGUGUUCAUCAUUCACAUAUGAAUUUGUGUAUUUAGAAAGUAGCGUGGAUACCGUGAAAUGUGAAAUCCAUGUUAGAAUUAGAGAUCGCUAUGUGACACACACUCUAAUUAAAAUAACUCCUCAUUAAUUAACUUCUAGUAUCUCGUUUCGAAUGACUAGUUAUUUGCAAGGAAAACAUGGGCAUGGUAAUACAUACAGAUUCGUUUGCGAAUGGAAGAAGAUUCGUUUGCAUUCUCAAAUGUAGGUGCACCAGGUAGACCAUGGUCGUGUCGUGGUGGUCGCGUGUGUCGUACGGAUGCUAGCACCCAGCCACCCACCCCCUCCCUCCCUUCCAUGUUUCAGAUUAAAAUAUCUGGCGUCCCCAAUUCCAGCCCUGCAAAAUCUCCCUUCUCCACCGCCCCCUUCCGCACCCAGAGCACUCAAAUCCCUAAUUCACCGCCAACCCAAGAAAAGUUCGAAUCUCCCCUCAUCUCGUCUCUUUCCCCACCUCUGUGCUAGAUGACGAUGACGAAGACGACGGUCGCGCUUCACCACCGCACCGAAGCGACCUCAUCUACACCCUUGUCCACCGCACCGGGUGUUCCACCGACAAUGUCGGCCACCGCAACUGACCUGCCUCACAGACACCGACUUCCACUGCAUCAGGUGUGCUUCACCGACACCGUCUCCUACCUCACCGGGGCUACUUCACUGAGCACAUGGUCGCACCUCCACCCCCCGAGGCCAUUGGGGCUUCACCAACAGUCUUGUCCACCGCAUCGCAGCGGUUCACUACCACUCAAGAUCUGCAUUCAUGCGCUGCCAGCAAACGCCAACGCAUCACCCUCAACGGCUCUGAAAUGACAUGCACUCUAGCUAGGCUUGCAUGCCCAAACGCCGGCCCGAACUAGGUAUCCACAUAUCACUCCCUAGUACACUGUUCCGACGAUGUUUGGAUAUCCUUGCACUGCUCUCUUAGCUUACACGCCUAUGCAACUCUGAAUUUUACUCUUAUUUCUUCUGGAGAUAUCAUCUGAAACAAGCAAAACCAUUUUUUAGCGAAGCAUGACGGCACUACGGGAUCUGGUACACAUCUUGCACACCGAUAUAACCUUGUAAGUACCUGUCCUCCGGUACAACAACAAGGUCGACUCCUCUUAUUUGAUCAACCAAUCGCCGUGUCAAAAAUGCAGAGUGGGAUGCAAGGAGCACAAGGCAUGCACAUCCAAGCAAGUGGUAACAUGGACUUGUACAUGGAACAUCCCAAGCACAAGCAGAGAUGUAGUGAGCCUGUGCAACGAGCUAGCGUAAGUCCCUGCAUUUCAUUUAAUUCAUACCUGCCUGCGGGUAUGAUUUGUGUGCAGUGGCGGAUCCAUGAAUUCAAGUUACCAGGGGCGAAAGUUUAACUUAAAAAUACGAAGGCACUUGCACUCAGGAAAUCAACAUAACUUGAGAAAUGUGAAGCUACAUGCACUACAAAAAAAAGACACAUCCGUGACAUUUUUGGCCGAACGGAAAAAUAUUCUGUCAUACUUAUGACACUUCUGUGACGAUAAUUGUGACAAAACCCGGUAUCAUCAUAGAUGUGGUGGGCUCCAACUUCUACGACAACAAAUCAUGAUAGAAAAUGGGCUUUUCAUCCUGGGUGGGCCAGAGACACAGCUGCAUGACAUUCUUUGGGUCGUCCAUGAUGGGAAAAACCGUGGUAGAAGACAGGGCGAGGAAAAUAGCUGGGAGUUCCCGGUUACGGUGGGUGGUCGGGGGCCGAGCGAUGCGAGUUUCUCUCGUACAUGUACGCGCGUGGGUGCGAGGCGUUGGGCUCUAACUGAACCUGAGUGAGGCGUUCCCCUAACUGAACGCGAGCGAUUGCACUGCAGGCUACGCGUUACUGAACCCGAGCGAUCGAUCGAUGACUGUUAACUGAACCCAAUCGAGCGAUUCCUUCGUUCGCUACUGCUGCUAACUGAAGCCGAUCGAAGCUGCUGCCUCCUUUCCUUGAUGAAUAGUGAGCGUUAUUGGGGGGGGUGGAUGAACAGUUCCCGAUGGGGGGUUGGAUGAACACGACCCCGUGGUGUUGCCGCUGGAUGAACUGGACCCAAAUCGAUCGAGGCGGUUGGGCGUGGAUGAACAGGACCCCGUGGAGGGAAGGUUGAACAGUAGCCGGUGGAGGGCUGGUUGAACAGUAGCAAGUGGAGGGCUGGAUGAAUAGUAGCCCAUGGAGGGAUGGUUGAACAGGACCCCGUGGAGAAGGCUGGUUGAACAGUAGCCGAUGGAGGAGCGGUGGAGGCUGGAUGAACAGGAGACCGUGGAUGAACAGUCACAGGUGGAGGCUGGAGGAGGUCGACGGUGGAUGAAAAGUAGCCCGUGGAGGCUGGAGGAGGUCGACGGUGGAGAUGAACAAUAUCCCGUGGAGUCCUGUUUUGUGGUACGCCACACCCCUCCCGAUGAACAGGACCCCCGUUUCGACCGUAGCACUCCAACACAAGUCCGUUUCCUUCAUUUUGCGGUACGCCACACCCCACCCGAUCAACAGGACCCCGUUUCGACCGUAGGAGGUCCAAUAGAAGUCCAUUUCCUCCAUUUUGCGGUACGCCAGACCCCUCCCAAUGAACGGGAUCCCGUUUCGACCGUGGCCGGUCGAACACAAGGCCAUUUCCUCCAUUCUACGGUACGCCAAGCGUCAUUUCCAUUGGUUGUUCUGUCCAAGCCGGUUGGCACUCGAUGAACAGCACACGUUUCGUUGCCUCCCGAUGAACACGUCGCAUUCUGUUGCCUCCCCAUGAACACGCCGACAACGCAGUUCUCCAUUCUGACCCAGCCACGUACACGAGCCCUGGCCAUACGUAUGCGUGAGUAGGCGUUCGAGACCCCACCCAUUUAUACGUACGUGACCGUAUUUACUUUCUUGCACCCCGGCCAUUGUACGUACGUGUACAUGCUAUGUGCGCGCCUCUACUAUGACACGUGCGCGCCUCUACAUCGACCAGUAUGUAUGUACACGUUCGCGACCAGAAUGACUAUGCUACGUACGCUUCGACCAGGUGGGUCCCGACUGUCAGGCACUUCCUUGCGUGCGAAGAUGUAGCUGGUGGGUCCCAGCAGUCAGGGGGCAAAUCAUUUUUUUUGCCCAUAAUAUGGACGUACUUCCUUGCGUGCGAAGAUGUAGCUGGUGCGUCCCAGCAGUCAGGAGGAAACAUUUUUUUUUGUGAAAUACGCUGGCCCAUCCGGUGGGUCCCUGCUGUCAGGUGGAGGAAUAAAUAUUUUGCGCGUAAUAAGGAGACACUUCCUAGCGGCUCCCAUGGACCCAACUGUCAGCCUCUCCAUGUAUAGUACUCUUUCGAUUUAAGUCGUUCCUUGACCAUGUUGACCACGCUGCUCCGAGAGCACCAGGGCGGUGGACGACGGCGAGGCCUAGGAAGGGGAUGACAUGGAGCCGGGGAAGACGCGGUAAUGGAAACCCACGCGGAGAGGAGUAUGAGGGUUCACUGUUUAGGCUGUGGUGUGAGGCCGCCAUCGCCGCAGAAUAACUAGGGGUGUGGGUGAGUAGAGGGAUGGCCUGGCCAGCGGUGGGAGUAGUAGGGGGAGGUGAGGCCUCUGCGGCAUCACCGUCGUCCACGGGAGGCAGGAGCAUGCGGCACGACCAGCGCUGGUUUGGGCAGUUGGAGCAAGAAGACCAGAGGUUGAAGAAGCACUACGGCCGUUGGAUGGACAUCGUACGGUCACUGGAGCUAGAAUCGUUCAUAUUGACUAAGUUCACAAAGCCCUCCGUCCCUGUCAACGUAGUAGGCCCACAAGUCAGCCUCCCACUAUGGUGGGUCCCAGCUGGCAGGGGGGUAUUCAUUUUUUGUGUGCAAUAAGGAGGCACUUCCUUGUGUGCGAAGAUAUAGCUGGUGGGUCUGACCUGUCAGCGGGGGGAACGUUUUUUCGCGAAAUACAGAGGCCCUUCCGGUGGGUCCCAGAUGUCAGGUGGAGGAAUCAUUAUUUUGUGCAUAAUAAGGAGGCAUUUCCUUGUGUGCGGCCGUGGACCCAGCCGUCAGCCUCUCCACGUACAGUCCGCUUCCGAUGGAUGUUGUUCGUUGACCACAUUGACCAUGCCACGCCGAGAGCACCAGGGCGGUGGACGAUGGCGAUGCCUACGAAGGGAACGGCAUGGAGCUGGGGAAGAUAUGGUAGUGGUUGCCCACGCGGUGGGGAGUAUGAGGGUUGAGUGGUUCGGCUGCCGUCGCCGAUAAAUAAUAGGAGGUGUGGGUGAGUAGAGGGAUAGACAGGCCAGAGAUGCGAGUAUGGUGGGGCCGUGAGGCCUGCCCGGCAGCACAGCCGGCCAUGGGAGGCGGGAGCAGGUGGUUCCGCCGGUGCUAGUUUGGGCGGCUGGAGCAGGAAGAUCAGAGACUGAAGAAGCACGAUUGCCGUUAGAUCGACAUCUAACGGUCUGACACUGGUAGAGUAGAUUGUUGACUAAGUUUCUUUUUUUGAUAAACCUUGUGUACACAUGAAUUUUGUAGGCCCACAAGUCAGCCUCCAAAUCUGUGGCAGACAACAUAGAGCCCAUUUGCUAUUUUUUUAAUAAUUUGCAGCCUAUUUGCUAAUUCUUAAGUAAUUUAUUACAUCCCAUUUUCUGCCCAGGACCACGGUUAAGAAGUUCAACCUUAUUUUGCAUAUUUUGGUGGAGUCUGAACUGUGGUAAUCCCAAAAUGAUAAACAUUUUUAAGAACUUAUUGAUUUGCCAAAAAAAUCAUUUUGUUUUUGUAAGCAAAUAACACGUGGGACAAUUGAGUUGGUUUAAUGGAAAACCAGUGGUAAAAAUCAGCGCUGGGAGGGAAAACAACAACAAAAAUAAGGAUGUACAUAUGAAAAGGGAACUUUAUGUAUUUUCAAUAUAAUGAUACGUGUAUAUGAACUAGUAAAACUAUAGGUAGAGAUUAGAAAAUGGAUGUAGGACAUGACAUUUCAAGAGGAAAAUAGAACUGGGUUGUGUGUUUGAUUCAGUAAAAAAACUGCCUACGGAUGUCGUAAGACAAAAUAUAACUAAUGCUGGCAGGCCAGAGGCCAGUAGAUACCUGAUGGAUCUUUUUGCCCCGUUGUUGUCAUGGGCUGGGCCUGUUAAAAAUAAAACCAAGCCUGGGCAGUCUACAGCCCAGUUGAAACUUGCUUGACCUGAAAAAACAAUAUACCUGCUCAAUAAAUGAGAGAAUUCUGCAAGUACAGACUGAUAACUGGGAUGCAGGAGCUAUAUUGUUUUUUCAUCAUGAUAAUAAGUGCAUGCACCUGUUUGAAAAAAUUUGGAGAACUGGGAAUUCGAACGGCAGGUGCUUAUGCUACCCAUCAAAUAAAAAUCAGGUGCGUGAAAAUUCGUUUCGAAACAAAUGAUUUAGCUUUAUAUCCACGUCGACCCUCGGCAUGAUGGUUGGAACCAAAUGCCAAGUUCAUACCGAAAGAUCGUUAACAACAAUACCAACUUGCGGACGACAAGGUAGUACAAGUACCAAUACCAAACUAACUUAUAAUCUUUUGACUCCUGGCCCUAGUGUUCGUCUAGUAGAAAAUCUUGCAGAGGACCAGCUCCCGCUCUGAAAGUGCGUUAUAUCGACUAGAGGGGGGGUGAAUAGGCGAUUUUUAUGAAUUCUUCAUGAGGAAUUUGCCGGUGAGGAAAUUCCUUAGCGAAGAACUACUUGCAGCGGAAUAAGUACUCAGAAGUAAGCAUGCCAGAAUACACACGUAGUCAUCAUGAUGAAAUGAAGACAAACACAGAGUACAGAAAGCGUAAACACAGGAUAACACAAGAUGAAGACAAACAGACCGAAGAAAUUGAAUUGAGGAACUUGAGAAAGUCUUCAGUCAAAGUCUUCAAACACAGAUAUGAACAAUCACUCAACACAGUAAUGAAGAAAUGAAAGAGUUGAGGAAAUAGAACCAGUAAGGUUGGUGAAGACAAUGAUUUGGUAGACCAGUUCCAACUACUGUCUCAGUUGUACGUCUGGUUGGAGUGGCUGCGUAUUUAAACUCGAAAACACACAGUCCCGGACACCCAGUCGCUGAGCACGCAGCUCAGGACACCAAGUCCUCACCGUAUUCUCCUUGAACUAAGGUUACACAGACCUCGUCCAAUCACUCGUGGUAAGUCUUCAGGCGACUUCCAAACCUUCACAGACUUCGGUCACUCGGCGAUCCACAAUUCCUCUUGGAUGCUCUAGACCAUGACGCCUAACCGUCUGGAAGAAGCACAGUCUUCAAAGGUAACAAGCGUCGGAUCCACGCAGGAUCAAUCUCUUCAGUGAUGCUCAAUCGCUUUGGGUUUGUAGGUGUUUAGGUUUGGGUUUUUCCUCACUUGAUGAUUUUCGCUCAAAGUCCUCGGAGGAUGGGUUGCUCUCAAAUGACAAGUGUCAGUUUCUCUCGGAGCAGCCAACCAGCUAGUGGUUGUAGGGGGCGGCUAUUUAUAGCCUAGGGAGCAGCCCAACAUGAUAAGACAUAAAUGCCCUUCGAUGAUAUGACCGUGGGGAUAAGAUAUUUUGAGAAAGCUGGCGCGCAGCACAACAACGGUCGGAAUUUUGACUCUCAAAUUCCUCAGGGCUAUCAUGUACCUCACUGUGUAGGCAAUCCGCACUGGCGAAUUUCUAAAUCCUCAGUCAGAACAAAUUCCUCAGCGACCAGAAGAACUUCGUCUCUGUCACUAAAGAAAUUGACUGAACUGUAUGAGAUUUCCAAUGGCUUCACUCGAAGGGAUUGGUAGGUGUAGGAUUUUGAGUUGAGCAUCACAUGGAAAAUUUUCCUUAGUAUUUCCUCGACCCCCUUUAACAGUACGGUGUUUCCUAUGACUCAAGAAGGAGAAAAACAAAACUAUGAAAAUGAAAGUCUUCAAGCUUCAUAUUCCUUGCAUGAAUAUCAAGUCUUCGCGGACACACCAAUUUCUUCACUUUCAAAGUCUUCAUGAAAGUCUUCAGGAAUACCAAAAUCUUCAGUCGAAGAUAUUCAUUUUUAGGGGUCGACUUUCUUUGUAAAUAUCAAACUCCUCAUAGACUUAUAGACCUGUGUACACUCAUAAACACAUUAGUCCCUUAACCUAUAAGUCUUGAAUACACCAAAAUCACUAAGGGACACUAGAUGCACUUACAAUCUCCCCCUUUUUGGUGAUUGAUGACAAUAUAGGUUAAGUUUUCAAUGGGUAUAAACAUAUGAAGUGUAAGUACUGGUAUUGAGGAAUUUGAUUGCAAGAUAUAGAAGAACUCCCCCUGAAGAUGUGCAUAGUGAGGAAUUUGCUUUUGAAGCAAUGCACACUUGAAGAGUUGAAUCAUGGAGAUCUUCCCCUAUAUCUUGUAAUUCAUACAUGCAUUUGACAUAUAAUAUGAAGAAUUUGAAAUGCAUGAUGAAAUAUGGUCCCUGAAGAAAUUCAGCAUGCGUGCAAUAAUAUUAACGAGGAACAAGCACGGAGAAUAACGCAUCAAAAGUAUCAGAGCACAGUGCAUCAAAAGUAUCAGAGCACCAUCGGUUUUCAGAUUACAACUCGAUCCAAUAAAAGUUUCAGAAGAGCGAGAGUUGUAACUUAGCAAAAAAAAAC
rnacentral:lncRNA from 1 species